UGAGAUGAGAGUCAUUUCCCCACUUCUCUAUAACUAAUAUAGGUUAAGGUUCUAAGAUUGAUCUUCGAACCAACAUACCCUAUCCCUUCGAGCUUAUAAAUAUGGGGCUUGCAAAUCCAUAUGUUUUAUUAGAUAGGACUUUUAACUUGUAUACAAACAGUGUUACCUCUAUAGCAUUCUCCACCAUGAUAUCCCAUUGGAACAUUGUGAGAGCAUCUCAAAGUUUUGAAUCAGGUAUGUUUGACUUAAAUUAUUUGAUUGGUUUUUUGUUUUUUUAUGUUUUUGUUCUCAAUGUGUGAUAGUUGGAAAAGUACUUUAACCUUUUACACGUUUCUCGUAUUGUUAUUUAAGGUUUUUUAACUACAUACAACCAUACUAAAGCUAUAUGAUCAUUAACAGAAAAAAUAACAUGAAUCAAUCUCAAUUUGAAAAAAUAGAUUGAUUUUAAUCCCAAUAUAUAUCCCUUGAGCCAGAAAAAGUCAUGAGAUGGUUUGGACCACUACUAUGUUUUCCUUAUCUUGGGAGGUGCUAGGAUUUAAAGUUUGAAGAAGACACAUGCUUUAAAAAAGCAAAGCUGUUGAAGCAAACCCACAUCUAUUUCCUUUACCUUUAAUGAAUAUGCCUCCUACUAAAAUUGAAAACAAUCCCAUAUGAAAUGAAAAUGGAAGGCAUGGGUAAAGAUAAAUUAAUUCACCUCUACCACUUUAGGAAAUAGAAACCAAAAUUCAACCGGGAUAAAUCCAUUUUUUUUUCUUAUUUACUACUAGUCUUAGACGUGAUUUAGGAUAAUUUUACACUUUCGGUUUUAAUUAUAAUCUCUAAUCUUCAUUCUAAAAUAUAAAUAAUUUUUUCUUUUAUUUAUUUUUAUGUUGAACUCUUUUUAAAUUUAAAAACUUUUUUAUUGAAAUAAUUUUGAUAACAAUAAAAGUUAUUGUGGGCAUAAAAAACUAACUAUUAAUCCUUAAAUUAUUAUUUAUAUUUUUUUCAUUUAAUGCUACAUACACACACACACACACACACAUAUAUAUAUAUAUAUAUAUAUAUAUAUAUAUAUAUAUAUAUAUUUAAAAAAAAUAAUUUGAAGGUGUUAUUCUGAGAAGUUAAUAGAUUGUAAACAACAUAGCUAAAAAGAAAAAGUUGAGCUUUAGUUACUAAUAUGUUUUGUUCACAUUGAAAAUAUAACUCACAUUUGUAACGAGAAUCAUCUUGUCUACCUUUUCUCUAAAGAUGCAAUUUUAAAUUGUUAGAGUACAAUUGGAAAAGGGUGUCUGAAAGCACGUUAUUACUCAACUAAUUAACUUCAUUAUAUAGUCUCCAUUUAAUAGUUCACUACAACAAAUGUGGGUUUUUCCUUGUACUAACUUGUGCUUAAAAAAGAGCCUUUCAUGACAAAAAAAUUUUGUCUACAAAUUUUUUGUUUUUUAUUUUUAUUUUUAUUUUUAUUUUAUCUUUUUAUGGUGAGGUGUUGCUAUAAGUCCAUCAACAAUUAUUUUUAACCAUAAAAAAAUGAAUUUUAUAACCAAAAGCUAAAAUUUUGCCACAAAAUAAAAUUUGUGGCAACAUGUUAUUCUUCACCACUAGAUAAAAUUUGUGGCAACACCAUCACUUUUUACAACAAGACAAGUUCAUAGCAAAAAUGAAAAUUUUCCAUGAACACAAAAUUCAUGGUAAAAGGUCACCAUGAAAAAUAUUUAUAGUUACUAAUCAAAUUCCAUCAUAAAAGAAUUGUGGCAAAAGUUUAUUUUCAAUAAAAAAAUUUAUUUAUUUUUUCUAACGAUUCUAAAUUUAGUCUAUAUUUCCAUUAUGUAUUUAGUUCAAUUUAGUCAUUCUCAACUACAUGCCUUGUAAAUCUUGCUUCUAUUAUCAUUAUAUCUAAUAGUUUCAUUAGAAUUAUCUAGUUAUGUUCUAUUCUUUUUCAUACUUCAUCUAUUUGUUAGGCUGGUAAUUCCACUUUAGAUUCUAAUAUAGAGUGGGCUCACUGUCUCCUAGUGAGCCACUUUUUGGGUAGAUUAUUAUGUGUAGCGUUGUAUGCGGGGCAAAAGGAUAUAUGUUUUACUAUAGUUUUUAUUUUGAGAAAUAAAAAAGUCUUCCUUUUUUUAUUUAUAUUAUUAUAAAUAAUUAAAUAUAUUAUUGAUUUGGUAUCAAUCAAAUAUGCAAUCUAGAUCAUUCAAGUGUAAAGUAUAACCUAAGCCAUUGAAUAAUAGUAUAAAUAUAUGAGUCUCAUAAAUAAAAAAAAUUGAGAUUGAGGUACAAAGUAACAAAAUCAAGAUAUAAGGAAAUGAGGCCUAAACACAAACUAAUUGAAACAUUCAAAAGUCAUAAGUUAAUACAACUUUUUUUUUAAUAUAUUAUAUUUUGUUACUAACACUUUUUGAUAUAGUAACAAAAAAAAAGGUCUUUUUGACAUGUACUAAUGAAUAUCCCAAUUAUUAUUUCUUAAAUUUUGGAUCAUGUUCUAUAUAUCAAUAUGGAUAUGGCAAUUAUCUAUUAGCUCUAAUUGACUGUUACCAUUAUAGGAAAAGAUAGGAGGAACUUGUAACUAAAAAAACUUAAGUUAUAUUCUCUCCAUCCCAUUGUUGAAAAUAUUGAGAGAUGUUACUUAAGAUAAGGCAGAACUGUUUAAUGAAUUCGAAGCUAGAGAAAGUAGCGAGCAAGCCACCCAUAAAUAAAUAUAUGCUGUAAUGUUAUUUUCAUGUGCAGGUGAGUGGAAACUCCAUAUAUUUUUUGGACUUGUAUGGAACUGUGAAGGCAGAAUCUUGGCCUUCGUUUUCAAGGCUUGUAUAUUGGUACAACAAACAAGAACAAACAAACAAAAUAUUUUGUGAGACAGUACCUGUAAAUCAGAGCUCAGUAAGCUUUCUUAUUGGGAUUUCGAUGACAAUCAAUAGAACUGAAGACAUUAGAAGUGUAAGACAAGCUUUCAUUGCACCUCACCCACUCCUUUAUUGUUCCCUGAUUGUCAUGAAAAAACUAUCUAGUGAAGUGAUUUCAAACGCAAUGUUCGAAGCUUUAUACCAUAAGGCGCAUGUGACUAGUUAUACAAUUGGAUUAUAUACUUGAAUAUUCAUUUUUAGCUCUUUCCCUGCGUCAUUACCCUGCAACCAAAAACAAGGGGGGGGGGGGGGGGGGGGGGGGGGGGAAAAUUGAAAAUUUUUUUUUUUUGGAAACCCCAAAAAAAAAAAAACCCGGGCCCCCCCAACCCCAAUUUUUUUUUCCCCGGGGGUAAAAAGGGGCCCCCCCGGGGCCCAAUUUAAGGGCCCGCAAAAUUCCAAAAAAUCCCGCCCAAGCCCCCCCCCACCCGGGGCCUUUUUGUUUUAUUUCCCACCCCCCUUUUUAGUUUUUAUUUUUCCCCCCCAAAUUUGAAUUUUUUUCCCCACCCAAAAAUGUUUUUGGGGGCCCCAAAAAAAAAGGAAAGGGGACCAAAAAAAAAAAAAAAAAAAAUUUAAUUUAAAAAGGGUUUUUUGGGAAAAAAAAAAAAAAUUCCUUUUUUUCCCCCUUUUACCCCCCCCCGGGGCCCCAAACCCUUGGAAAAUCCCCCCCCCCCCCGGGGGAGAAUUUUCCCNNNNNNNNNNNNNNNNNNNNNNNNNNNNNNNNNNNNNNNNNNNNNNNNNNNNNNNNNNNNNNNNNNNNNNNNNNNNNNNNNNNNNNNNNNNNNNNNNNNNAAAAAAAAGGGGGGGGGGGGGGGGGGGGGGGGGGGUGAAGAUUGGAUAUGUAGUCUUUUUGGAAACUCAGAUGAAAAUGAAACCAGUGCCCAGUCAAGCCUAAGUUGCUUAUGCCUAGGGCUAGACAUGGGCUCCGACGGAGCCUAAUCUGAAGGCCUGCAAGAUUCCAAAAUAUCCAGCUCAAGCCCAGCCCAAUCCUGGCCAUUCUUGUCUUACUUCACAUCUCCAUUUAUAUGUAUUAUUUGUUCCUCCAAUAGUUGAAUUUAUUACUCAAUCUAGAACUGUAUUUGGGUGCCCAAAACAAAAAGGAAAUGGAACUAAAAAAAAGAAAAAAGAAAUAUUAAGUUAAAAAGUGUUUGUAUGGAACUAAAGAAAGUAUUCCUUUUUCAUCAGCUUUAUACCCACUCAUGGUUCACAUACCAUUGGAUAUGUCCUCAACCGUCAUGGGGAUGAUUAUGCCUGAAUAUGAGUAACCACUGAAAUAAAGUGGAUUUUUCUUAAACUUGGGGUGAUUAAUAAGCCACUCAGUCACAAUACAAAAAGGGAAAAGAAAAAACAUAAGACUUGGAUUCGUCAACAAAUUUUCAAAUGAUUAGGGAAUAGUCCAACUUAAACUAUGAAAAAUCACCCUUUAAUUGAUUGAUUGAUGCAUAUAUGCUAACCUUUCUUAGCAAAGUAUAUCAUACUGUUGUAACCUUGUACCGAUCGCGAAUAGGAUAAUCCAGUGCCAAUGGGUGCAUCCAAGAAUAUCAUACUCACUAACCGUAAAUUUAUUCAAAUCUUGGCAUCAAUAUAUCACAUAAUUUAUAUAACCAUCGAAGUAGAAGGCUGGAAUCUCCUAUCUACCUUUGUCCAAGAGUAUGGGUUCAAUCUAAAUGUUGGCAAGUUUUCAUUCUAUUUCUCGUAGUUGAAUGACAAUGGACCUACAAAUUAGUAUAUAUAUAUAUCAUUUUGGGCAUUAAUUAAUCACAUGUCUCAUUGAUUUUUCAUCUAUUAGAGACUAUUCUUCAUCUUUACCGUACUUUCUAAAUUUUGAAGAAGUAGAAGCAAAAGAAAAAAAAAAAAAAAUCAAAUGGUUGUAAUUUUCUUUCCAUGUGGGACCAAUUUUCCUAUAUUUUUCUUCUUGAACAAAUCUUCCCUCGUGUGUCUCCACAUUAUUUACUGAAUUUUAUUGUCUUUCUUCAAAUCUUCUUUCCUCGAAAUGAUGUAAAUUGGGGAUAAGAAAUAUACCAACUUCGCAUGCAAGACCAGAAAAUGCAGAACAACCAGGACCUCCAGUGAGCCAAAGCAAUAGAGGGUCUUCUCUUGGAUUUCUUUCAGACUCAACGAAGUAGUAGAAUAACAGCACAUCGUCCAUAUCAUCUACUCCAACAUACCUUCUUAUAAUUUAAAUACAACCCACAUUAUGAGGAAAGAAAUCCAAGAGGAUAUGGAAAUAACUCACAACAGAAAUUCUGAAAGAAUCAUGAAAAUGCCAUACCUUUUUGUCAAAGAAAAAAGAGAGGAAAGAAAUGAAGAUCAAAGGUAAGGGAGAGAAAAGAUGCUAGAGAAGCACGAAUGAUGGGGAAGGAUGAGAUACCUCUAUGUUUACCCUACAAGAGCUUAAAAUAGAAAAACUAAGGAUCCAAUAGAACCAUGUGAAUGGAACUUCUUUUAGGCAUGUGAACUCUUUAGCUUUUGUUUAAAGAACCCUACCGUAACCAUUUGAAGAUGUCUUGGCUUUUGUUUGAAGAGUCUUACCUUUCCUAUAGUAGGCAUGUGAACUCACUAUAGCCAUGCGGAUAUGUCUUAACUUUUGUCUGAUGGAUUUUAUCUUCUUGUAAGCAUCUUAUCUUCCUAUAUCACAUAAUUUACUUAUUUGCUAUUUAUCAUAGUGUUUUGGGUGCUUAAGGGUAUCAGAGUCAUGGAUGUGGUUUAUUUCAGGACUAUCCUAGGAGUAACGUUUUCCAUAGAGGUGAUCCAAAGGAACCCAUUCUAUUCGGAGGAAAAGGUGUUUGAGGGUAAGAUUUUUGGUGAUUACUCUAUUAAUUUUGUAAACCCGUGAAAAUGCUCUAAAUUAACUUUGAAAUGAAUUUAAUAUUCAAAUCUAUGUCUUGGUGAUCCUCUGAUCCUCAAGAUAAUAUGGUGAAUAGUGAAGGAGUAAAUUUUCCUAACAUUCAACAUGAUUUAGAAAAUUGGAAACUACCUAAGACUUUUAGCCAAGAAAUUUAUAGGAAAGGAUAUUUUAAGUUUUUCUCUAAUUACAUAAUUAAGACGGUUGAACAAACAUAAAGUUUAAAACUAGAUAAUCAAAUUAUAAGACUUCUAGAUAGUAAAUCUAUAGAAAGACAUAAGAAAGAUUAUAACUCUAUACAUCUAAACCUUUGGUUAGAAUACGUCUAAACACUUUCAUUGUAAUGUGCUUAAGAGAUGAUAGGCAUCUUGAUUAUAGAGAUUCUAUUAUAGGAGCAGUUCAGGCAAGAUUAAUUAAGGGGUGUUCAAAUGUUGUCCGAAAAAAUAGAAAUCCAAAAAUAUUAAAUAAUUAGCAAGGGUACGAAGAAUGUGAGGAUUCUUCACAUUCUUCGUACCCUUCCCAUUUUCCAUUUCUUUGAACUUUUCAAAAUUUUUUUGGCACUUCAUAUGACUUGGAUAUUGUUUAAAUAGGUUCAUUGCACGAUAAUCCAUAUUAUGAUUCUAUUGACCAAAGUCAGUCCAAAUUCUUUAUUAUUUUCGAUAGUAGGUUUCCUCAUACCUUCAGAGUAGGGUUCUUUACUAUUAAUUAUAUAUUGAUUAUGCUAUUAAUUAUGUUUGUUGUACUGUUAAGAUAAAUUGGAAUUCAAAAAACAAAUAAAAAUAUUUACUAACCCAAAUUAUCAACUUCAAUUCAUUGAAAGUCUUAGCAAGAAAAGGGAAUUUUGGUAAAACAAAAGUCCAUUUGACCCCUCCAUUUGCUAUUGCUACAUCAAUUUUACUGUAGUUGUAAUCACAAAAUAUUAAAAUAAGAAUUUUUUUUAUGACCACACAUCAUAAAUAUUAAAUGAAUUAUUUACUAAUAGAUUUAAUUAAUUUAUUUAUUUUUUAUUUGUUUUGCAUAGACAUCUUUUAAGGGACAGUGACCUACAUUGGUCUACAAGAGGUGUGUGAUGCAAGACUUGAGACAACGAGAGGUGUGUGAUGGCAAGACUUGAGACAAAGACAGAUUGAGGAAGGUACACUAUUUUUCCUUAUACAAGCCAACAUAUUUUAAUUAUAAUGUCAUUUUUACUUUGGGUGGUUAGAAGAAUAUAAUGGAGGUGUUAUUUUAAAUUUUGUUUAAAUCUUAUUGAGUAACUGAAUUCUACAAGUUAUUCCCCAGCUUAGUUUGAUACCAAGGCCCAAAAUUUGACCAAGGCUAUGACAUAGCCUGGUGUGACUUGAUUUGGAAAUCAUGGGCCAUACAUAUACUUUCUUAUAAUAAUCUUGUUUAAUGGGUAAUGGAUAACAUGAAAUAUACCAAUAAUUAUGGAACAUCUUUAGGUGUUUUAUAAUGAUUAGAUUAUUCAAUAAGUUAUUGUGUUUUAAUUUUAAUCAAACAUGCAUGCAUGAAACCUUAGAGUUCCCAUUCAUGUACUCAUUAAUAAAUUUUAUUAGUUUCUAUACUUUAGUAAUUUUUUGUUAACUUAACUAAUCAUCAUGUAUGUACAAUUAAUUCUUAGUUUAAAGGAAAAAAAUCGUAUAGUGAAGUCGAGCUUAAUGAAGUACGAUCUGAGUGGGUUAUGUUGGCAACUCAAUUAAUUUUUACCCAUGCCUGAAGUAUAAAUUAACAUCUACAAUGCUUGAUUUUCAUUAUUAAUAAAGUCUUGAAUGGACUAAUUUUUUUAAUUUACCAUCUUAUGUAUGUAGAUGUCCUCAUUUCAGUCCAUUAAGAGUUGUAGAUCACAUUUUCAUGAUUCUCAUAUGUUCUUAUCUCAUGAUAAGUAAUUUUUUCCUCCAUAGUAAUAGAAGAUAAUAGUUUUAUGUGUAAACUAUUUCAAUAUAACAAAUCAAAUUAUUACAUCAUCCCCAAUGUUGUUACAUGGAGAAAAAACAUAUAAUUUGUGAACUCAAUAAAUCAAAUUAUUAUAUCAUUAUCAUCAAUGUUGUCAUUAUUAUUGUUGUUGUUGCAUGGAGAAGUUGUUAUUGUUAUAUGUUUGGACUAAACAAAUCAAAUUAUUAGUAAUAUAAUUAUCACCAUCAUCAAUGUUAUUGUUAUUGUUGUUGUUGUUGUUGUUGUUGUUGUUACAUGGAGAAAUUGAUAUUGUUGUAUGGAGAAGUUGUUGUUAUUGUUGUUGGAGAGGUUGUUGUUGCAUGAAAAGGUUGUUGUUGGAUGGAGAGAUGGCAGAGAGCUUUUUUUGUGUAGGGUCAAUUAUUAUAUUUUGGUUGUAAUUUUGGAAUCGGAAAUAAAGGCAAGUUUUAGAAUGGUUAUUAUUAUGACAUUUAACCAAUGAUUUGUAGGUUUCUAUUUCCUUGGUUGUGUUAUAUUAAUUUUUAGUUUAAUACUAUUUUUUUCCUUAUGGAAUGUUAUUAGUCAACUAAAUUUGGUAAUAUAGGAAAGUUGUAAGAAGAAAUUAAGGCAUUUGCAAAUGGUUAAUAUUAAAUGUCUUAUAUUACUAGAUAUGAUGAUUUAUGAUUGAAACUAAUUAUAAACCAUACCUUUUGGUAUCUUCAUAUAUUUAUUUAUGAGAAAUGAGUUUCAUAUGUAAGACAUAGAUAAGAAAAUAUUAUAUUACAUUCCAUAUUGUAGAAUUUAUAUCAUUGAAAGCCUAACUUGUUUCCUCUAACUUAAUAAUGAACUAAAAAGUCUAUUAAUAUUUUAUAGACAAGUAUCAAAUUAAACAAUUUUUCGUCUUCAUUGAAGCAUAACAUCUCAUUAAAUACCAAGUUAUUCUCAUUUGCACUUCUUUCAUGGACCAUUUAUAGAUUUAAAUUUAACUUUCAUUGCAUGUAUAUUAACUAAACAUAAUUUUUUGUUUCUUCUAUUGUUUUAUUUUUAUUUUUUAAAUGUACACAGGUAAAAGAUUUCAAGUUCAAGAGUGGAUAUGCAACAAAUAGGAAUACUUUUGGCUAGAAAUACUUUUGGUUUCUUCUUCUUCUUCUUCUUGUAAUAUUAUUUUUGAUAAGGAAUUUAGAGACCUUGUUUUUUUGGUACAUGUGUACUGUUUUAUGUUGAAGUUGGAAAAUAUGCUUGUUAUAAAUAUUUUGAUACAUUUACAAAUUUACGUAUUAAUUAACUAUGUAGACAUUAGUUCUUUAUCAUGAUAUUAUUCCCAAAUUUAUUCAAUUUCUUUUGGAAGAUAUAGUUAUUAAUAUUGAAAUUAUUGUUUUGUACUUUAUAAAAAAUUAUGUAGCCAAAAUUAUAUAUAACAAGACAUACAAAAUAUAUCAUUUCAAUAGGGGGAUUUUCAAUAUUAUUAUCCACAUAAGAUAACACUUUUUUUAGUGUCAAAAUAGACAAAUGAUAUUUUGGACAUUCCUUGGCGCUAGUGUAAGUGUUAACAUAGGUAGAUCAAUAGUGACGCUUUUCAAAGUGUCAAUAUAUAUCAAUCAACAAUGACGCUUUAUAAAGCGUCAAAGAUAAUGAACAUUAAAGAUGACGCUUUCAAAGUGUCAACAUUGAAAAUUUGGUGGAAAUAAUGGAACUUAAAGAAUGUCAUGCUUUUGGAAAUAUGACAUUUAGAUAAGCAUCAAUGUAAGUGCUUUUAUAGAUAACGCUUUCUAGAAGCGACAUGGUUGCCUGCACCCAUUCCUUGAUAGGGGCGAAAAAGGACGCUUUCGAGAAGCGUCAUCUUAUACAUUUAUUGACGCCAAAAAAAGCAUCAUUAUUGCUCUUUUUUCUUAUAGUGGGUGUAAAUAUUAGGGAAACAUAUAGAAUCAAUAAAAUGAAUGAAUGAAUGAAAUAAAAUUAUCAACUUGAACUAAAUAACCUAAUUCACUAAUAAUCUUCCCACUUGACAAUUUUUUUUUAUAAACUAAUAAUUACAUAAACUCUUUAAUACUCUCAAAUAAAGUUUACAUAUCAUUCAAUGAUGCUCAAGUCUAAACCAUACAUUCUAUGAAUUAAUAUUCAAUUUUCAACAACAAAUUGUAAGAAUUCCUAAAACAAUCUUGGAACCUAUAAUGUGUACACACUCAAACAACAACACCCAUGAAAGGUAGAUUAUGGGAAAGAACAUAUAAACAUAUAAAUACAUGGAUAUCCUACAUACCCUUGUAAGAAAAACUCAAAGGAUAUUGGUAGGUGGGAUGUGGUUUAAGAAGUUUUGUUAUAAAAUCUUAAGAAGGCUUCAAAAACUAUGAGGGUAAUGUAAAACAAUUCUCUUUGAUAACAAGCCCAAUAAAAGAGCUUUGAGGGGUGAUGUUUUGAAGCUUUGUUUGAUAGGCAAGAAAAAAGAAGAAGAAAAUGCAUUGAUUUUAUUUUAGUUUUUACAAGUUUAAGGAAAAAAAAGGGUUUGGUUCAAAGAGGAUAACAAACAAAGUCUUAUUAACCAAAACUUUAAUUUUCUCUCUUUUCUAGUUUUCUCAACAACCAAACAUAAAAUAGUAGCAAGAGGAAAAAUAGCUUAAUAGAGAUCGAAAACACAAAGGUUUGCCCUCAUGAGGACUAUGAUGAAUUUGUUAUGAAAUGAUACCCACGACGAUAAUUUGAAAAUAGAAUAAUAAAAAAUAAAAAUAGAAUAAUAAAUAAAACAUUAAGUAAAAUAAUGGGCAAAAGUACUUACAUGGUAAAACCCUCUCAAUUAAGAAGGAAACCUAUACGGGGAAAAACCGAAAAAAAAUAUAUACUAUAUGAAGACAAAAUUACAACCUCUCUCUCUAUUAAGAGGAGAGACUAUAAAAGCUUUUUUUGGGAUAAAUAGUAUAGGGGGUGGAGACCUCUUUUUAUAGAACAAGGAAGUUUAUGUUUUUUUUGUUUUUUUUAUAUGAGAUAACUUCAACCUUAACAUUCUCCUACCUAAAGUCACUCUUUUAUGUCUUGGCCUAUCACAUGUUGCUUAUGUUAUUGCCAAGCCAUAAGAGGAUUUGCACCAAUUGAAUUUAUCAGUAUUAAUUGGUUUUGUCAAGACAUUUGCUAUAUUAUGCUUCAUAACUAUCUUUUGCAUAUUCACUGUUCCUUUUUCCACCACUUCUCAAACAAAGUGAUAUUGAACUCCUAUGUGCUUAGUCCUAGAAUGAAAGGUUGGAUUCCUUGCAAUGUGCAAGGCACUUUGACUAUCACAAAAUAAAGAAAUCUUCUUUUGUUUUUACCUAAGCUCCUCCAAUAAACGUUUAAUCCAAAUAACUUCUUUGCAAGCCUAUGUAGCUUUCAUGUGUUCUGCUUCUAUCGUAAAUAAAGCCACAAUAGUUUGAAGUUUUGAAACCCAGCUCACAGCUCCUCCUGUAAUUGUGAACACAUAGCUCGUAGUAGAUUUCCUUUUAUCAAGAUCACUUGUAAAGUUUGAAACAACAUAGCCUUUGACAAUGAAUUAUGAUCCUUUAAAACAUAAUGCUGCAUUUGAGGUCUCUUUGGUGUAUAUAAGGAUCUUCUUAAUUAUAUACCAAUGUUCUAUCCCUGGAUUUUCCAUGAAUCGACUUACCACUCCUACUGUUUGUGCAAUGUUUGGUCUUGUAUAAAUCAUAGCAAACAUUAAACUUCCUACUACUUAUACAUAUGGUGUUAGAGAUAAUUCUAUCCUCUCUACUUCAUUACUAAGACUCAUACUUGAGGAUAAUUUGUAAUUCAUAAGAAGUGGGGUAGAAACUGGCUUACAAUCAUGCAUGUUGAAGCAAUGUAAAUUUUGCUUCAAAUAGUUUUUUUACGAGAGCCAAAUUAUCUUGCUUUGUUUACCUCGAUGAAUUUGCAUCCCUAGAAUCUUGUUUGAUGGUCCUAGAUCUUUAAUCUCAAACAUCCUAACUAGCCAAUUGUGUCUUUAAUUUUUGUACUCGAUCUUUGUUGAGGCUUGUAACCAACAUGUCAUCCACACACAACAAGAAGAUAAUAAAAUCAUCAUCCUCAAAUAUAUACAAUGAUUUGAACUGAGUUUAUUGUACCCAAGGCUCAAUAUGAAGGAAUCAAAUCUCUUGUAACAACAUAUUGGCGCCUAUUUUAGAUCAUACAAAGAUUUGGUCAACCUGCGAACCAAGUUCUCUUUCCUAUUUUCUUCAAAUACUUUUGGUUGAAGCAUAUAAAUUUCUUCUUCAAGCUUUCCAUGAAGAAAUGUAGUUUUCACAUCUAACUGCUCAAGGUGUAAAUCAAAUCUAGCACACAUAGCCAAGACUACUCAAACCGAUGUAAGUCGAACAACUGGAGAAAUGAUCUUGCUGAAAUCAACACCCUUUUUCUGAGCAUAUCCUUUAACCACCAAUCUUGCACGAUACCGCUCCACUUGGUCAUGGCUAUCAUGUUUGAUCUUAUAGACCCACUUGUUUCCAAUAGUUUUUUCGUCUAGGUGGUAGUAGCAUAAGUUUCCAUGUUUGGUUCUUAUGCAAGGCUUCAACCUCCUCUUGUAUUUUUGCCAUCCAUAAAGAUGAAUCCGAACUGUUUAUGGCCUCCCGAUAAUUUGAAGGCUCACCAUCUUCUGUAAGAAGACAGUAUGCAAAAAUUAAUUUGAUCAAAUGCUAUACUCCCUAAGACUUACAUUGACAACAUCAACUCUUGUGUUCACAUCUACAAUGUAACACCUGCAUAGUCCUUAGUGGACUCCUAAACACCAUGACGGAAUGUGAUCAUCAAUUACAACUUUGUCAAUGAACAAUGUAUAUAUAUAUAUAUAUAUAUUGGAGAGUUUUAGGUGAAUACAAAGAUAAUGUCAUUAUAUUUCAAGGCACAAAAGGUUUCAACUUGAAUAAUCAAUUAGCAUAUUUAUAGGGACAAAACCCCAAUUGACUAGGAAGAUUUUAGAAUUUACUAGUUACUAAAGUCAAUUUAAAAACUCCUAGAAAUUUGGAAAAAAUUUGAAAUUGGAUAAUUAUAGAAUUGAGUGUUGGAUUGCUACAUAAGUGCACUUGAGCUAGUGGUCUUCAAGGGCGUUCAAGCUAGUGGUCUUUAAGACAAUAGUCCACUAUAAGCCAUAAUUAUGUCCUUAUACUCCAAGUAACUCAAUAAUAUUGAAUAAUACUAUCCUAGGAUGAAUUUAUAGAAAUUUGAGUCUUUAAGGAUAGUGUAAAUCUUAGGGAAACAUAUAGAGUCAAUACAAAGAAUGAAGGACAUAAAACUGUCAACUUGAACUAAAUAACCUAAUUCACUAAUAAUAUUCCCAUUUAACAUUUUUUUGAUAAACUAAUAAUUACAUGAACUCUUCAAUACUCUCAAACAAUGUUUAAAUAUCAUUCAAUGAUGCUCAAGUCUAAACCAUACAUUUUAUGAAUUAAUAUUCAAUUUUCAACAACAAAUUCUAAGAAUUCCUAAAGCAAUCCUAGAACCUAUAAUGUGUACACACUCAAACAAAAACACCCAUGAAAGGUAGAUUAUGAGAAAGAAUAGAUAAAAAUAUAGAUACAUUGAUAUCCUACGUACCCUUGUAAGAAAAACUCAAAGGAUAUUGAUAGGUGGGAUGUGGUUUAUGAAACUUUGUUACAAAAUCUUAAGAAGGCUUCAAAAACUGUGAGGGUAAUGUAAAACAAUUCUCUAUGAUAACAAGUCCAAUAAAAGAGCUUUGAGGGUGAUGUUUUGAAGCUUUGUUUGAUAAGCAAGAAAAAGAAGAAGAAAAUUCAUUGAUUUUAUGGAGGGAGGAGGAUUUGGUUCAAAGAGGCUAACAAAAAAAGUCUUAUUAACCACAACUUUAAAUUUCUUUCCUUUCUAGUUUUCUCAACAACCAAACAUAAAAUAGUAGUAAGAGGAAAAUUAGCUUAAUAGAGAUUGAAAACAAAAGUUUGCCCUCAUGAGGACUAUGAUGAAUUAAUGGUCAAGAUGAACUAAGAUUAGGGUUGAGCAGCCUCAACAUCUAGGUUGUUGUCUCCUUGAUUGCAAGUUCCUCUAUUUUUGCUUUAUGAGAGAGGUGGAAGGUAAAAGGGAGUUAUAAGGUUUUAUAGUUUGGUUUGGUUGAUAUUUGGAAUUUUUUUCUUUUGGAAUUUGAGGCUUUAUUUCAUGUGGCAUAUCUAUUUUAUUUAAGGUUAAUUUCACUUAUCUACCUUCAAGAUUUGGUUAAAUAUACUUGACCUCCAUUGGUUUGGAAUUUCAUCAUUUCUUGUUUUGAGUGAAAGAGAAUGUGAGUAAAUAUAAUACAUGAAAAUAACAAAUAAAAAGAAUAGAUGAGAUAUUUGAAGAAAUUUCAAACUAAUAGAAACUAGAUGUAUUUACUUAAAAUCUUAAAUAAUGUAAAUGAAACUAAUCCAUUUUAUUUAAUUAAUUUUUCCAAAUUUUAUAAAUUUUACAUUCCUUUGGCCCAUUGUUAGAGGUAACAAUUCAUGUGGGUAGGUGGUGUUUGUGUCAUGUUAAAGUUUAGGUAUUCUACUACAUAGCUCAACCCAAACUUGAUACAAUUAAUAAUCAUGUAAAAAACAUAAACCAAACACUACCUAAAUAAGCAACACAUUGUGUAACCCAUUUAACAAUCACGUCUCAUAUUUAAUAAUCAAGUUGAGUUAUGUUUUUUUAUACGUUUAUAUAAUUAAUGUUUCAACCAAAUAUGUUUAUGACCAAUUGACCUAUUUAUUUAAAAAUAAAUUUAAAAUGAAUUAAAUAGUUUAAAGAUAUAAUUUAGUUCAUAUUAAAAAUUAUGAGAUAAGUCAAUUCGGAUCAAAUUCGUAUUAUACAGAUUGACCCAAAAAUUACCUAUUUAUAAAACGGGUUAUGCAUAUUAACACAAAUUUGAUACAAACUCAUUUAUACUCAACCUAAACCCAUGAAAAGUGUGUUGAGUUCAUGUCGUGUUAACGAAUGGUAUCAAAUUUUGUCACCUCUACCAAUUAUCAAUAAGUGGGGACCAAAACCACAAUUAUCCCUUUUUUUUGCCUCAAGUUCCUUCUAUGACCUAUGGACAUGUGGUAUCAUCUUAAUCCUUUAUUUCCUCCAGAGAUUUGAUUUUCAAGAGUGCCUCGAAUUAGCAACCAACUUGUGAGCCGUACCAAUCAACAUUUUGGAGCACUAAUUAUACAAGAAAAGCAAAGAAUCCGCUUAGGGGAUGAGCCCUAGCUGAUUUGAUUAAGCUUGCUUAAUAUCAUGCUUUUCUCACUCAAUUUUCUUGCCUUUUUUUGAAGCUUUCCAUUUUACUUGCAAAAAUUACAAUAAAUACCUUUAAAAACAUUAAAAUUCAUAGCAUGUCAGGUAGCCUUAAUUAGGUUAUGAUCCAGUGUCUUUCCCCUUGAAAUUAAUUUACCUGCAAAAUUGGUUAUUUAUGACAAUUUUGAAUUACAAAUUAUCGAUAAUUAGAGUUAGUUGGGUACAGGACAUUAAGUUUGUGGGUUUAUUGAUUGAAGUAAUCUUUGUAGAAAAUAUACUUUUGAUUAAAAUAUGUGAUCAUAAAUACGAGCUUAAUAAUUCAUCCAAAGAAAAUGAUUUGUAAAAUGUUAUAUAUAUUACUAAAACAAGAAAAGAAAAGAAAAUAUUAUGCAUCUUUUUUUAAGUAAUACGUUGAUGAGCCAAAGAUUCAAAAAUAGCAUAGACGUUUGGUCAAUAAGAAAGGUAUUUUCUUUGCUUCCUUACAUUUAUCAUUGUGGGACCACUUGAGUUCCCAAUAAAGGCUGCUGCUCGAGCACUUGACAGGUUUUUGGUUCCAGUAUCUCCAAAAAGUUCCCUUGACAAUAGUAAUCUAUGGAGGCUUGCUUACUUGAAUUAUGCUGUCAAUGUUGAUCAUGGCCACGGUCCCACGGACUAAUGUCAUAAGAGGAUUGGAGUUUGUGAAAAUAUUUUAUUGAAUCGGUAGAAGUAAGGAGAUAUCAAGGUUGACUAAAGUAGCCUCCAUUCCCACCCUAAUGAAAUUGGUUUGAAAUUAAGAUAAAGGAACUAGAAAUGAGUUCGAAAUUAAAAUAAAUAAAUUAAAAAUGGAUUUGAAUUUUUGCUUUGUUUUAAAUCACGAGAUGGUUCAAGGCGCGUUCGAGUAUAGCCUUUACUAGCCCUACCUCGAUUAUAUAUAAUUAAUUUAAUUAAAUAAAUAAUUUUAAAAUUUACCAUUUUUAACAUAAAAAAAAAUUACUUUUCAAUUAAAUAAAUAAUAUUUUAUUUAUUUUACAAUAUAUGUUUAUUUUUAAUAUAAUUAAAAAUAUUUUGAAUUGAUUUUUUUAAAAAAAAAUAAAAAAAUAAAGUAAAAAUAAAUGAUACGAUAUGAGACAAGGAGUUAUGAGAAAUUUUCAUACUUAUCCCAUUUUGCCUCGUUUAAUUUUUUUUUAUAUUAUUAGAACAAGGAUGAGAAUUAAUUUGUAUAAAUGUGAUAAGAGUUGGGAAAGGGGUAACCCAUCCCCAAUCACCCUAUUGUCAUCCUUAAGAUUGACAAUAUAACAUGAAAAAAAAAAUGAUUGUAAUAAGAAGGAAAAUCAUGGGGAGAAUAAAUAAAAAAAUUCUAAAAAUGAAUAAAAGAAUAGGAGCAUACAUUAUAAUAAAAAUCACUGUAAAAAGAUAUAUCUUCCAUUUACCCAACAAUUAAGGCAGAACAAGAAGUGGCAAUCAAGGGUCGAGAUAAGACUAUUAGAAAUGGAAGAUAAUAAAGCUUGAGGAGGAAAUUCAAAAGAAUUUGCUAGAAUGGAAAAAGUGAAGACAAAUUAUCAACAACAAAGUCAAAUUAAAAGGCAAGAGAAGAGGAAAAAGAAUAAUAAGAGAACUUGUUUUGCUAACAUCAUGGAAAUGUCUUAUACUACACCUAAAGUAUUGUUGUGUACCUUUAAGAGCCACUUAAACAAAUUAAUUUAUGUAAUUUUCUUAUCCUUUUCAUUUUCUUUAUGCAUUAUGAGUAAUGUGACAUCGUUCACAGUUACAUCUUAAAAAAAAAUAAAGUACUCGUUCCAUUAAGGCAAACAAAGAGUUUAGUGGAAAAAAGUUUCUGUUGUCCACACAUUGACCCAUCGAUCGAGGCUCAACCUUAGGACAAAUGCAAAAUGACAACCAUGUCAAGCAUCAAAUUAAGUCUGUUAGACUCUAGCACAUCCAUUCACAAUCAUCAAUUAGUCCAUGUGCUAAGCCCUAAUAACAUUUCCUGAGUUGCUUUCAUUAGCAGCAAAUAAGCAUCGAAGUAUGCUUUCUUGUUUAUUGUCUAUUUUGCCCAAUUGUUGAGCAAUCCUUCCAAAGAGAAAACUCCAAACAAGGCUUUAUUGUUUAUUUAAUUUUUAUUUUUAUUGUCGUUUUUUGACAAAUGAUGAGCAAUUCCUCCAAAGAUAAAACUUCAAAUAGAGCUUUCUUGUUUAUUUAUUUUUAGUUUUUUGACAAAUGCUGAGCAAUUCUUAAGAAAAAAAACUUCAAAUAGAGCUUUCUUGGGAUCUCUUGGGUCAGUGGAAUGGAAUACCUUGGGUCUAUAUAUAUAUAUAUAUAUAUAUAUAGAGAGAGAGAGAGAGAGAGAGAGAGAGAGAGAGAUAGACUCAAGGUCUUCCUUGCUAACAGUGAACAGCAGACCCAUGAAAACAAGCUUGCACUAACGUUAUAUUGUUCCUCCCUAUUUCCUAUAAGAUCCAUUUAAGCUCUGGAAAUUUAAAGUCUAUUCUAUUUGUAAUCAAGCUGGAGUCUUAAUGAAUCAAGUUUCUUCCACUACUAAUUUAAUACUCAAUUCAUUAAAUUCAGAUCAGCUAACCAACCAUUGCCAACCAUGCAAAGCUAGUAUAGACUUUCAUAUCCCCAGAAAUUGCCCAAAAUGAUUUUCUUUAUAUAUAAAACAAAGUUGAACAAGAUAUCAAAUACAUAGAGAACUGGAAUCAUAUAGGAUGACAAUUCCAAAUAUAUAACAAACUCAGAAGCAUAGAGGCGGUGCUUCCAACCCAAUUAGCGUGUGUGCAAAAGGGAUGCGGCUGGAGUAGAGGUUGAACUGGGAGAUUCAAAGAGCUUUGAUGAUGAGGUGUGGAUGCUCUCAGAAAUGGUGGGGCCACACGAUAUUGUUUGUAGCACUGGAGGAGAAUAAUACAUUGGCACAGGCAUUUUUAAAGGAAGAAGAGGUAGUGAAGCUUCCGAAUUAAGGACAUUAAUUGCUUGCCUUAUUGAAGGUCGAAGAUUGCAAUCUGGGUGAGCACACCAAAGCCCAACAAUCAUCAAUCGUUCCAUUUGUUCUUCAUCAAAAUCGUCCGAGAGUCUUGGAUCAGCGGCAUCAACAAGCUUUCCUACUCCAUAGAGGUCCCAGACCCAUUCUACCAAUCUGAUCUGCUUCUCUUUAGCUUUUGGUUCCACAGGUCUUCUCCCACAGCAGAUUUCUAAGGCAACAAUCCCGAAACUAUAGACAUCAGUUUCCUUGCUGGCCUUGCCUGUCAUGAGACAUUCAGGAGCCAUGUACCCCAUGGUUCCAGCUAAAACUGUGGUCUGUGACCCUUUGCCAUGAUCAACGAGCCUGGCUAGUCCAAAAUCUCCAAGCUUAGCGUUGAAAUCUGAGUCCAACAUCACAUUACUCGAUUUGAUAUCCCUAUGUACCACACAUUGUUCCCAUUCUUCAUGUAGGUAGAGCAACGAAGAGGCCAAGCCAAGAGCAAUUUUAUACCUCACUGCCCAUGUUAGCAGGGUUUUUUCGUCCAAAAGACGGGAGCUUAAGUUGCCAUUUGGCAUGAGCUCAUAAACCAAUAGGAGCUCUCUUUUUUUUAUGGCACCAGCCCAUAAGCUGCACCAAGUUUCGAUGCCUCAAUCGACUGAUGAUCUUCACUUCAGAUGCAUACUCCUUCAUCCCUUGUUUGGACCCCCUUGAUACUCUCUUAACUGCAACAUAAGAGUUCAGUUCCCUCAAGAAGCCUCUAUAGACCCCACCGAACCCUCCCUCUCCAAGCUUUUCCUCCUCUGCAAAGUUACUGGUUGCAAGAGCCAAUUCGUCAAAGGAAAACUUCCUAGGUCCAGUACCCUUCUCAAAGUCUUCGUCCAUGACUAGGUCAGAGUCAGUACCAUUUUCUUCUCCACCACUAUUCCUCUUCUUCCUCAAGUGAUGCCAAACCAAUCCCAACCCACAUACUACAACAACUGCACCAACACUCAAUCCCACCACAAAUCCUGUUUUCUUUCCAUCUCCUGGUUCUACAGGAUUGGGAGGUUGCAAAGUUGAACUGAAAUUCCACGAGUAAAUGUUGUUUAUCUGGACUGCUUUUCCUGUUGCGCCUGAGAAGCCAAUAGUAACAAAUUCUGGCAAGUAUUCCCUCAGAUCAACUUUGUAGGAGAGGCUUUGGGAGGUAGUUUUAUCGUCCAUAAACUCAGUAAUUAGAACGACACUCAGAUUUUGUGAACUAGAAGUAUAACGGAUGGAAACAUGAUUUAGCUUUCCUUCCCCUAUAUUGCUGGACCAGUUCACUGUUUUGACAGAUAUCGUAGAGUUAAUAUCAAUACCAACAUGAUCACUCACCGGAUCCCUUUUGGCCUUGUUUGAAAAUGUAUCAAACUCCACUGCAACAAAACUAAUUACAGUUGUGUUUGUCACGUUAUCCUUCGUGAGACCAAGGUUUUCUCCCGAUUUGAAGGCAAUUGGGUACCGUUAAGGAAGAACGUGAUUCCAUCGCCAUAAGCACUCUUGUUCCGUGAGUUAAUGACAAAGGAGAAAUUGCUAGCGAAAUCAGUUAGAUUUCUGGAGGUCCGAUCCCAGAGAUACAACUGCUCUUUAUAUAUGGCUCGACCCCAACUAGAAUCCAUUGAUUUGUCCUGCACGUCUCUGGUCAGUUGGAUGUCAUCAUCAGAAGAAUAUCGAGCCUCUCCUUCAAAGGAAAUUUGACCAUUAUUUGGUUCAAAGGUGGUGAAGUUGAAGGACAAUGAAGUUGCAGAAGGGAAUAUUAGGAAGAAGAAAGUGGAAAUCAUGAAGCCAAGAUGAAAGGAGAGAAGUUUGUGAGAUUGGGUGGGGGUAAUUCCAGCGUUGCAAGCAUCCAUGGCUAAGUACAGAGGCCUGCUGAUGGACUUCUAGUAAAAGACAACUUGCAGUCACUGCACCAAGCUUUACUGGGUCCUCGUUUGCAAAAUUUAUCGAAGGGACGGCAAAGACUUCAAAGUCAUAUUCUAAUUGGUCGCGUUAGUGGGGAACAAAAAGUUCAUACUUUGUUACCUGCCCUCAUUUCUUCCUCUGACUCUGACCAAAAUAAUGAGCCAUCCUAUAAUAAUUAUCAUAUGUUAGGUGGUGAUAGAUGCCGGAAAUAAUAAUAAUAACAAUUAUUAUUAUUAUUAUUAUAAUAUUAAUAAGAUGAAUGAAUAUAUCUAUAUAUACGUCAAGAUGGGAAUAAGGUUGAUGAUCCCUAUGCAAAUAACACUAAAAUACAGUACUCAAUGAACAAUAUUGCAGAUUUUAAGUUCACAUAAAUAAAAUUCCUUUAAUCUAAAUACCGAGCAUAGAAUUUUCAAAUAGAAGGAUUUGAAAUUUUGGAGUUUUAAUACAUUUUUUUAAAUAAAAUUGAACUAAAAUAUUUGGCUCGACUAUUAUAUUCUAACCGAAAUAACGUUUCCUUUUUGCCUAGAAGGAAGAUUUAAAUAUGAAUAUGGAGUGAGUGAAGCCAAUUAUGUUUUCCUUAUUAUGGUAUAUUAUGCAAUUAAUCAAUAGAAAUAUUGACCUCUAUUUAAUGAUGUGCUAAAUUUUUUUAAAAUAGAACCAAUUUAAAGUUUAAGAAACCUUUAAGUUGGGAACAAAAUAUCUAAAAAGAACACCUAAAAUAUAAGGUUUAAGAACUUAAAUUUUUUGGAGAAUUUUCCUUCUUAUGUUUAAGGACAUCUAUUUAUUACAUAACAUGUUGUAGUAAUAACCACAUCGCAAAAACUUUUAGGUAAUAUUUUUGCAUUCAGGAGAGUGCAUCUAACUCACUCCAAAAUGAUCCUAUUCAUUCGAUUAGUUAGGCCUAUUUGUUGAAGAGUUUUUCCUUGUAAAACUUUGUGAACUCAUCAUUAUUCCAAACCAUUGUCAAGUAUUAACCUUUUAAUUUCUCUCUCUUGUUUGAUUUUCAAUCAAAGUUUUCCACUUCUAAAAUUCUUGAAAAGAAAGCUUGGUUCUUGCAUUUCAACAGAUAAAUCCACACUUUCCAAGAGAAAUCUUCUAUGAAGGUAACGAAGAUUUAGCACUCCUUAAAUAAGGAAUUCAUGUAGGCCCCAAAUUUUAAAAUAUAAAUAAUUCAAUUUUUUUUGUUCUAUGAAUAGAAAUAGAAAAUUUUACCGUUUCCUAUUACGAAACAUAUAAUGUUAACAAAAACCCAAAUUUUCAACUUGUCCCUUCCCAAGCAAACCUUGUUUACUUAACUCAUAUAGGACUAUCUCACUAACAUAACCAUGCCUCAAAUGUAAAAGUUUAGUAAAGUCUAGUUCUUAUCUAGAAACUAAUUUAGCAUGAUUUGUGAAAGUCUUAUUUUGUAGAGUAUAAAGCUCAUUUCUUCUUACACCUUUCAUGAUUAGUAAAAAAACCCUUUGAAAUCUUGAGAGCUCCAUCUUCACCUUUGAAAAGACAUCUUAUUUGAUCCAACAUAUGCCAAGAGAAAUCAUAUUCCUUUUCAACUUUUGUUCGUACCUUACAUCUUUGAAGAUUGUGAUAAAACCAUCUAUCAUUUUGAUUUUAAUAGUGUCAAUUCCUAUGACUUUGCAGGCCAUAUUGUCCACCAUUAGCACCCUCCCUCCAUCAAUUUCUUUGUAAGCAUCAAACCAAACUUGAUUUAGGGUUAUAUGGAAAUAACACCUUGAAUCUAGUAUCCAUUCUUUAGUACCACUUUUUUUUUGUAGAAAUAGAUAAAACAUUUGCACUUUCAUAUCCCUUGGAAGCCAUUGUUGGAUUAUUAGAACCAUUUUCCUUCUCUUUAAGCCUUUUCUUCCUCUCUAAAUAGUUUUUUUUUUCUAAAAUGACCUUCCUUUUGACAAACAAAACAUUUAUUUUUGAACUUUCAUUUGAAAUGUGACUUGUUCUUACCCUUAGAUUCUCUUUUCCUGAGUCUUCCACAAGCAACAAGACCCACUCCAUCAUUCCCUUCCCUAGAAUCUAUUAUCUUUUUCUUUAAUUCUUUUGAAUUAAGAGAAAUUUUUGCCUUUUCCAAUGUUAAUACCUCUCUUCCAAACAUCAUUGUGUUAACAAAAUUCUCAUAGGAACAAGAAAGUGAGCAAAGUAGCAAAAUAUUUUGUCCCCAUAUUUAAUCUUUAUACCAACACUCUUCAAAUCUCCUGAAAUUGUUCCAUUAAAGAAUGGCAAAGCAGGUAUAUGAAAAACUCAUCUAAUUGUCCUCUUUACGUUGAAGUAGUCUCAUUACUUUAAGUUUUUUUUUUUUAUAAAUGGCUUCAUUUCUUUGUAUCUAGGGUCUAACCAAUGAUCUCAUUAUUUUUCAUCUUCAUCUCAUUUCUUUAUAUUUUGAUUGCAUUGGUUUGUACUUUAGUUCAGUAUGUUCACAUCCUCAUUCAAGAGUCCACACUUCAUCAUACCCUUCAUCAAUCAAGAUCACAACUUCAAUUCGAUAAUAAAUCAAUAUUAUAGCCCCAUUCAAGUGCAUAAAUUUCACAAAUUUCUUCUUAACAAAGAAAUUUGAAUGUCUAUAAGAGUACAAAGAUCUAUAGUAUGAAUUUAAAGAGAAAAACCAUGCAUAGAACUCAUUUAUGAUGUUUAGUUACAAUAUUUUGAAAUACAACUUUAAUGGGCGCUUGAUAAAAACCAUAUUCUCAAUAUUUAAAAGUAAAGACAUUUAAAAAGACCUUAUUAUGAAUCAAACGUUUUUGAUAACUCAAAUCAAAUGUCUCUUUAGAAGUAAAUUUUACUUAAAAUGAACUAGAGAUUUCAAAAUAUGAUUCUUGAAUCAAAUGCUAAUAAUAAUUGUGAACUACACUAUUUUCAAGGUUUGUAAAAUUAUACUUCACUCCAACCCUUCAUCUUAGGUCAAAUUUUUAUUUUUAGUUUUUCUGUCAUCUUACAAUAAGGUAUAAAAGUGUCAUACUAAUAUUUUGAAUUCAUAGAAGUAGAUUAUUGGGAGGGUUUAUUUAUGUCCUUUAGACUAAAAAGGAGGAUAAUGAUAAUAUAAGCUACUUUGAAUCUAAUUCAUAUAUUUUUUUUCUGACUUAAUUCAAUUUUUAAAUUUUAAAAGAAUAACUUUUUUUUUUUAAUGGACCGCUAAAACAAGUAACAAGAUGGUUUUGUGUAGUUUAUUAGGUAGCAUGUCAUUCUUUAUAAAUAGUAUAAUAAUUGUGUGAUAAUAAGAGUCCAUUUGAUAGUUAUUUUAGGAAACGUUUUUAACCCAAAAUGUAUUUUUGAAAAAAUAUUAAGUGUUUAGUAAAAUUUAUGAAACAUUUUUAAAAUUUUGAAAAAUCACUUGUAGUAUUGAAAAAUUAGAAUGUGUUUGACAAUAAUUCAAAAAGUGUUUCUACCAUUUAUAAUGCUUGAAAGAUAAAAAAUUUCAAAUAUUAAAAAGAUUAAAAGCACUUCAUAAAAUCAUUACAAAAUGAAUUCUUAGAGCCCGUUUGGUAGUAAUUUUAGGAAACGCUUUUGAUAUUUAUAAUACUUAAAAAUUUUAUCAUUUAAGUAUUAGAAAUACUAGAAAUAUUUUGUAAAAUCACUCUCAAACACACUCUUAGUUAUAGUGUUUUCUAAGAAACACUUGAUAAGUAAUUUUGAAAAUAUCUCUACCAAAAGGACUAUGAAUAGAAAUACUCUUAAACUCACUCUAAAUCUCCAAAAUUAACCUAAAACCCACAAGUGGAAUAUUAAGCCAGUUAUGAUCACCUUUAGGGAAAUAACCUGUGGGUUCUAACAAACAAUUGUAGGUAACAAAGAUAUCUCACACAAUUUAAGGCCUUACUUCUUGUUUAAUUGAAUCUCUCUCACACCUUCUCUUCACUUCCCAAAUUUGAGAGACAUAUUUCAAAUGGGAAGAUGGCUUUCCUUUUAUAGCUGUCAAAUGGAAGUAUUAUAGCUGCCUUCCAUUCCUCUUCAAUGAUGGGUAUGGGAAAAAAUGGAACUAUGAUUGGUGAGGAGUAAUAGUCGGUUUCUAUUGUAAGAUAAAAAUCUCUAAUAAUUACAAGUAAUAAAAUGAAAGUCCAAAAUCGUACCUCCAACCAUGGCAAUCAAUUCACACAAAAUAAGGAUUAGUUGGUUAGUCCUUACAAGACCUUAUGUUCAUGCACCGAUGGAACUCACAGACUUAUUCUUGUAGACCAAAGACCCCUUUUCCCACUUCUGAAGUAUAUCUAUAUUUUUUUUUUAAUCUUUUUCCUAACAAAGAAGACUUAAGGUAGUUUUCAACUGAGUACUAUGUCUCACGUCUAUAGACAUGGGUGGUUACUCCAUAAGAGAUGUGACCCCACGUUUCAUUUAUUUUAGGGAAAAUAAUAUUUAAAUGGACCACAAUUUAAAAAAUAACUUUUUAUUUUAUUAAAAACAAAAAACGGUUUCCAACAUUUCUCCCACUUGGCCCAUAAAAAUUACUUAAUAUGUAUUAAUUAAAUUAAUACAUAACAUAUUUUUCCCUAAAUCCUUAUACUUAAUCAAAAGAGUUUAAAGUACAUGAAUCAUGACGGUAAGUCCUCUAAAAACGAGUAUUACCUUCCAUGUAUUACAAUGUAACUUUCUGUUUUGAAUAAGAACAAUAUGUGAGUCAUUCCUUUAUGAAUGAGUUUCCAAAAUUUUCAUUCAAGGUCUACUUAAAAUUCGUAACAUGCAUAUUGCCAUUCUCUAAACUUUAUGUAUACAACCAAAUGAGAAGACAAGAUUGAAAUAAUUGGAGUUUUCAUAUCAACCAAAAAUGCGAUAAAACAUAAAGGGUGUCUCAAUUACAUAAAAUUUACAAAACAAAAUUGAGUCCUAUAUGUUCAACAUGUUCCUUAUAAGCCUUAGGUGGCAAUCCUUUCGUAAAUGGAUCCACAAUCAUCAAUCCAGUACUAAUAUGCUCAAUAGCCACCUUGUUUGACUUAACAUGUUCCCUAAUAGCUAAGUACUUUAUGUCGAUGUUUUUACUACGACUUCCGCUCUUAUUAUUCUUGGUCAAAAACAUUGUAACAAAGUUAUUACAGGAAAUCCUCAAUGGCUUAGAAAUUGAGUCAAAAAUCUGAAGCCCUGAAAUAAAACUCCUCUACCAAAUAGCCCAUGACGUUGCUUCAAAACAUGAAACAAAUUAUGCUUCUAUGGUUGAAGUAGCAACCGAUGUUUGCUUUGCACUUCUCCAUGAAAUGGCCCCUCCAGCUAAUAAGAAGACGUAUCUAGAUGUCGACUUUCUAGAAUCAAGGCAACCAAAAAAAUCAGAAUCCGAAUAUCCAACCACAUCCAAAUGAUCAGAUCGCCUAUAUGUAAGCUUGUAGUCCCUAGUCCCCUUAAGUAUCUCAUGACUUUCUUUGCAGCUUUCCAAUGUUCUAGACCUGGAUUACUUUGAUAUCUGCCCAACAUUCCUACUGCAUAAGAAAUGUCAGGUCUUGUGCAAACCUGAGUAUACAUUAAGCUCCCAAGUGUAGAAGCAUAAGGAAUAUUUUUCAUCUCUUUCCUCUCCAAAUCAUUACUUGGGCAUUGGUUCAAACUAAAUCUGUCACCGUUGGCAAUCGAUGCAAUACUAGGUGAACAAUCCUUCAUGUGAAAUCCCUCAAGAACUUUAUUGAUAUAGGUUUCUUGAGACAAUCCUAAUAUCCGUUGAGAUCUGUCUCUCUUAAUCUUUAUGCCAAUGACAUAAGUCACUUCACCCAUAUCUUUCAUAUCAAAUUGUUGUGAGAGAAAUCGCUUCACCUCAUGAAGCAAACCCAAAUCAUUUGAAGCAAGCAAAAUAUCAUCCACAUAUAAGACUAAGAAAAUUAUUUUGCUCCCACUAAUCUUAUGGUAUAUAUAUUGAUCCAUAACAUUCUCUAUAAAACCAAAUGAAGAAAUAACAUCAUGGAACUUAAAAUACCAUUGAUGGGAUUCUUGUUUUAGUCCAUAUAUAAAUUUCUUAAGCUUGCAAACAAUGUGAUCAUUUCCAUUUGCGAUGAACCCUUCUGGUUGUUUCAUGUAAACCUUGUCCUCUAAAUCUCCAUUAAGGAAAGCUGUUUUCACAUCCAUUUGAUGUAGCACCAUAUCAAAAUGAGCUACUAAUGCCAUGAUUAUCAUAAAUGAAUCCUUAUUUGAAACAAGAGAAAAGAUAUCAUGAUAAUCAAUUCCUUCUUGUUGAUUGAAUCCUUUAGCUACAAGUCUUGCCUUAUAUCUUUCAAUAUUGCUUGAGGAAUCUCUUUUAGUCUUAAAAACCCAUUUACAACCAAUGACCUUUGCAUCUUUGGGCAACUCAACAAAAUCCCAGACUUGAUUAUUAGCCAUUGAAUUCAUCUCAUCUUUCAUGGCAUUGUACCAUAAUGUGGGUUCACUUCCACCCACGACUUGUGAAAACGUAAUGGGGCCAUCUUCAACACCAAUAUCAAUGUCUUAUUCUUGUAGGUACAUAACAUAAUAAGAAGAAAUUACAUGUCUCCUUUCUCUAGUAGAUCUUCUUAAUGUUAUAUCAACAUUCCGUUGUUGGGGAUGUUGAAUAACUGAAUCCACCAAAAUAUCCUCAUGAUGUGGUUCAUUAACAACUAGUGCUUUUUGGAUUGUCAAAUCUUGAUGACUAUUGGGGAAAAUAAUCAAUCUACUUGAAUACUCAAGAGUGGGUUCAAUAGUGUGGCGUUCCUCAAACACUAAGUGUUAAGAUUCAUUGCUCGCACUAAUCACAUCAUUCUCCAGAAACCUUGCAUUCUAAGAUUCUACAAUUUUCAUAGCACGGGAAGGACAAUAAAAUUUGUAUCCCUUAGACUUUUCUGCAUAGCUAAUGAAACAUCCACUAACUGUUCUUAAGUCUAAUUUUUUCUCUUGUGGAUUAUAAACUCUAACCUCAACUGGGCAAUCCCAUACAUGUACAUACAUGCCUUAGAUUGGGUUUCCAAUCUUUCCAUAACUCAAAAGGUGUUUUAGGAACUACCUUGGUUGGAACUCGGUUUAGUACAUAUGUCAUUGUCUUUAUGGCCUCACUCCACAAGGAUAAUGGGAGGUUGGCGUUACUAACCAUACUCCUAACCAUGUCUUUUAGAGUUUGAUUUUUUCUUUCAGCCACACCAUUUUAAGAUGGUGAGCCAAACAUUGUGUAUUGGGCAACAAUGCCAUGUUCCUAUAAAAACCUUGCAAAUGGACCAGAUAAUUGUCCUCUUUCAGUGUACCUAUCAUAAUAUUCACCACCUCUAUCUAAAUUCACAAUCUUAAUUUGUUUACCCAAUUGUUUCUCUACCUCUGCUUUAUAGAUUUUGAAAGCAUCUAGUGCUUCACACUUAUCAUAAAACAAAAAGAGAUGCAUAUAUAUUGAGUAGUCAUUGAUAAAAGUGAUAAAAUAUCUUUGACCAUUUAAGCACAUAUCAUAGGAACCACUAAUGUCAGUGUGUAUGAUUUCUAAAAUAUCAGAAGUCCUCCUGGCACUUUACUUCUUAGUCAUGUUGGUUUGCUUUCCCUUAAUUUAGUCCACACAAAUAUCACAAUUAGUAAAAUCAAGAGCCUCAAGGACUCCAUCGUUUACCAAUCUUUUAAUUCUUUCAAUAGAGAUAUGACUUAAUCUUUUGUGCCACAAUAUGGAAGACUUCUCAUUUAUAACACCAUGCUUAAUGCCAACAUUUCCAUGCAUAGUUGUAAGGCUAUGAUUAAAACUUGGAUUUAAAUUGAGUUUGAAUAAACCAUUAUCCAAAAUACCAUCACCAACAAUGACAUUCUCUUUUAUCAAAUCAAAUGAAAUACCAACAAAUUGAAAACUAAAACCAAAUGGUAAAAGUCUCGAAACUGAAAUAAGAUUCCUAGAAAAUGAUGGAACAAAAUUUUUUUUUUCAAGGUUUAAAACAAAGUCAGAUCUAAGAACAAGUUUGUAGGUUCCAACCGCUUCCACAUGAAAACUUAUCUGAUUUCCUGAAUAGAUAAAGUGUUCACUUUCCAUUGGUUUCCUUUGGUUUAAGAAGCCUUCCAUGGUAUUGGCAACAUAGAUUGUAGUACCAGUAUCAAUCCACCAAGUGUUGUAAGAAAAUAUGAACCAUAUUAGAUUUGUAACACACUAAAGAGAUGAGAUUACCUUUUUUUUCAAGCCAAGCCUUAAAUUUGGAACAACUCUUCUUGAUGUGUCCUUUCUUCUUGCAAAAGAAGCACUUGAUAUCGUUCUUAUUAACAUGAUUAAGAGGUGUCUUUUGCUUUCCUUUACCUUCCUUGCCUGGUUUCUUUUCUUGAGUUGCCAAAUGGGCACUUUCAAUCCUUUUUUUGAUUUAGUCUUCCUUCCUCUUGCACACAUGGUCAAAAGUUCAUUGAUAGACCAUUUUUCCUUAUGUGUGUUGUAUGAAAUGUUAAAAGGUUCAUACUCAGAUGGAAGAGAAUUAAGAAUGAAGUGAACCAGAAAUGACUCAAACAUCUCAAUCUCCAAUGACUUAAAUUGAGCAACAAUAUCCCUAAUUUCCAUUAUGUGUUUACACACUCCUUUGGUGCCAUCAAACUUCAUAGAACACAUCUUUGUCAUUAGGGUGCUAGCCAAAACCUUGUUAGAAGUCUCAAACUAUUUCUCAAUAGCCUUGAGAUAUUCUUUCACCUUAGCACAUUCAGAAAUUGAACCAUAAAUACUUUUCCCAAUACUAGACUUGACAAACAUCAAACUUAAGCGAUUAGAUCGCUCCCAAUGUUCAUAUGAUUCUUUCUUAGUUUAGGUACUUGAUUUCGUAGGAACCAGUGGCUCAUCCACAUGAAGUGCUAAAUCAAGGUCCAUGCACCCCAAUGUAAGGAGAAUUUUCUCCUUCCAAUCAGCAUAAUUAUCACCAAGGAAGGUAUACGAGAUGAAUCAAAAUUUGGAACAGAUAUAGAUUGAACUGCAAAAAAAUGACAAAGCUUACUAAUGCACAAUGAAGCCAAAAUUAAAAUUUACUCAUGUAAAUGAAUUCAAUCAACAAAAAAAUCAACACGUGAUCAUAAACUUUCCUAUGGUAAUAGAAUACGAAACACAAAUGAUUUUUUUUUAAUUACUUUAUAAUGGGACUGGUAAUUUUAGGCUUGUGGGCAACACUUUUUUUUUUUUUGUUUUUUUUUGUUUUUACCAUCCCAUCCUAAAUAAACACAAAACAUAAUAAUUACCAUGUGGGGUAAAAAUUUUAUUUUUUAUGAUUAUUUACAAAUAUUGAUGUCAUUAAUUUAAUGUGACAAAAAUGAAACUUUCUUUUGUCACUUAACAUUAUCAUAAUCAAGAAUGUUGUGGCUAUUACUUAAUUAAUCAAAUAUUACUUUAGUAUGACAUCAAAAAAAUUACCAAAAUAAAUGGUAAACAAAUAUAAGUAGUGUUUCUAAAUACUACUUUAUAAAAAUUAAUUUAUACAAGUUGUUCAUAGUGACGGAGCCAACAUUUAAGUUUAGAGGAGGCAAUCUCUAACAAGUCAUGGGCUUUGGUCUAAUGGUUCAAGGACUAUUCUAGUUAAGGGGUAAACCAUGGUCAUGGGUUCAAGUCGUCUCUAGAUAAAUAUAAAUAGGAGAACUAAAGCAGAUAUAUCUCCAGAUAAAUAAAUAGGAGAACAGAUAAUCAGAUCGAAUAUAUCUCUAUAUUCAUAUUUAUCUAUUCAUAUUUAUCUAGAUCUAUUUAUAUUUAUCUGUAAAUCUCAUAAAUAUAUAACCAAGUAAUGAGAUAGAUAAUAAGAUAAUAUGAGAUAAGCCAUUCAGAGAUAAAUCUCAUAUAAAAAACAUAACAUCCCAUAUGAGAAAUGUCUACUGCAACUCUAGAAAAACAUAUAUGAGAAAUGUCUACUGAAUUUUCUCCAUGUGGAUUAAAUCAGAAAUGUCCAAUAAAUAUGGAGUUUACUAAAUUUUCUCCAUAUGGAUUAAAUCAGAAAUACCCAAUGAAUAUGGAGAUAAAUUCUCUCAUCAUAUAUGAAUAUAGAACUUAAUUCAUUUAAGACAAUAAAUAUUGAAUGGAUUAAAUCAGAAAUAUCCAAUAAAUAUGGAGUCUACUAAAUUUUCUCCAUAUGGAUUAAAUCAUAAAUACCCAAUGAAUACGGAGAUAAAUUUCUCUCAUCAUAUACAAAUAUAGAACUUAAUUCAUUUAAGACAAUAAAUAUUGAAUCGAACCAGAGAACCAUGGCUCUGAUACCAAAUGUAAGAUAAAAAUCUCUAAUAAUUACAAGUAAUAAAAUGAAAAUCCAAGAUCAUACCUCUAGCCAUGACAAUCAGAUUCACAUAAAAUAAGGAUUUGUUGGCUAGUCCUUACAAGAUCUUAUGUUCAUGCACCGAUGAAACUCACAGACUUAUUCUUGUAGACUAGAGACCUUUUUUCCCACUUCUGGUGUAUAUUUGUAUUUUCUUUUCUCUUCUUCCCAUCAAAGAAGACUUAGGUAGUUCUCAACCAAGUAAUAUGUCUCAUGUCUAUAGACAUGGGUGGUUACUCCAUAAGAGAUGUGACCCCACGUUUCAUUCAUUUUAGGAAAAAUAAUAUUUAAAUGGACCAUAAUUUUAAAAAAAAUUAUUUUAUUUUAUUGAAAAUAUAAAACAAUUUCCAACAUCUAUAUCAUUCGAUCAAUGGAAAUGGGGUGAACUUCUAGUUGAACUCUAAUGGUGAAAAAUAAUGAUAUGGCUUGGUCUCAAGGCUCAUAUUUUUUUUUGGAGCCCACACUUGUAAUAAGAGAUGUGGAAAACCCAACAAUCUCCCACUUACACAUCGGUUUAAGUUGGACGAUCAUCAACCCAAUAGUCAUGAUUUUAAGCCUUCUCACCCAAAAAACUAACUCAAAAGUAUGAGUAUUUUCCUCACCCUUAUAAGGAGUUAUCCAAUCCCUUUCAUAACUGAUGUGGGACAACCCGACAAAGGUCUAUUGGAACCUUAGAAUUCAAGUAUGAAUAAUGAAGAAUUCGGUUAAGAAAACUCUUUUAGAGUAUGGUGAAUUGCUACGUAACUUGAGAUUUAAGCCAAAAUGAGUGGGCAUGGAUGGAUUAUAGAACCACUAUAAAUUGUAUUUGCAUUCUCUUUAAGAGAAUCAUACCUCUCAUUAAGAGUACUUACCAUACAUAAUCAACUAAAACCUAGUCUUGAUUGACACCCAUUACCAAUCAUGACAUAAUUUUUGUGGUUGUGGCAAUCAAGGGCUCGUUUGAGUAUCCCCACUGAGCUUCGGGUAUUUGAUCCAAGUUGGGCCCCAACCCAGAUUUAUUUGGGCUGGGCUUGAAACUGGUUCUUGGACCUGAUCAGCUCCUAAGCCUAGACAACGGGUUUACAGACCCAACCCAUCCUUGCCGACCAGGACCAACCCAGCCCAAAGGGUCUGGACGUUGCAACUAAACCAUUUUUUACUUUUCUGUUGUACUGUUACAAAAUUAUCUCAUGUUUGUUGUAUUUAAUGCAAAAUUAAGAGUGAAGUCAGAAAUAGCUUAUGCUUUGUUCUCGAUACAAUUUAAAAUUGAAUUGUCAUUUAUUUCGAAUUGCAAAUUUCAUUCUCGAUAAUACUGCUAAAUUUGAGAAUUUUCAAUUGUUAAGAUGGAUUUAAGAGUUUUAGAAUGUAUGAAAGUGAUUUUAGUUAAAUCACUUUUAUCUACUAUGUUUUUGUUAAUACAACUCUAAUUAUAAGUACUUUUAAAAAUAAUCCCUUCAUGUUUGAAUAUAAAUACUUUAAAAAGGGAAUCAUUUAACUAGAAAGACGUUUUCAUAGUGUAUUCAAUAAUUAAAAAAAGUAACUUUGGGAAAAAUUACUUACCUUCACUACUCUUAAGGAGUCCUUCAAUUAAUUUCGUUGUAACUUUGGAAGUAGUUUUAAAAAAUUUGUUAAACACAUAAUUUUUUUUAUAAAUCAAUCCGUGAGACCCUUGGAUUAAUUAACCAAAGAUAAAAGGUUUUAGAUUUUGUAGAUGCCUAACAUUCAUUCGAAAUAGAUGUGAUUGCUACUCAAAAAGUGCUAUUUGAUAGCUUGUAAUUAACUCUUUUAAACACUUUUGAGUAGUAGUUAUUGCCUUUUAACCCAAUUAACAUGUUAAGGACCCUUGCAAUCAAUUCUAAUCACUUUAUGCAAGUUUUGGUGUUUUUGUUAGUAAUUUGAUCACCAAAACAAUCCAAGAUUGAGGAGAGUUAUUUGGAAUCCAUGGCAAAGCAAUGAAGAGCUCAAAUUCAUGAAGAACCAAGCUUUGGAGCUCCAUAGCCCUUUGCCAAAGUCGUUCAAAGUAUGCAAGGAGAGAGGCAAGGAGAAGAGGAAAACAGAGUGAAGAAAACAGAGGACAAGCAGCUGCAGUCUUCAUGCGCACUUUUGGAGCAUUUCCCGAAGUCCAUUUUCUACAUUCUAUAUACCAUUUCAAAGCUCAGGAAGUCAAGAAUCCAAUGCUUCAAACGGUACGUGAUUCGGAGUUGAAACGAAGAAGUUACAGCCAUUGCAAGCAGAUCACUCCAAAGUGUUGCGAAAUCAGCCUUUUGUUGCGAGAAUUUCGCAGCCUUUUUGUACAGUGCUAUGGAAUUCCUCCUGAAGCUACCCGAUACAUGCCGCAAGCUGGAACGCUGAGAACCUCAAGGUGGAAGCCAAUUUCGCAGCCCUGUGAGUUUAACUUGUUGUUGCGAAAAUAUUUCGCAGCCCUCUUGGGUGUCUGCGAAAUCUCGCAGACACCAUUUUCACCUGCGAAAUGGUUCCUGAAGCUUCCCGAUAUUUUCCACCGACUCUUUUGGAUAUUUUUCUUCAGAUAUUUUUGUAUAAAUUUCCAUUUUCUCCUUGUAUUCAGCCACUCAUGUAAUUCCUUAGCUAGGAAGUGUCCAAGGAAGGGUAAAUUACCUUCCUAUAUAAACUCUCUUGCAUCCACUAUAAAACGGACGCUCGGAGAAGUAUGUAAUAUAGAUACAAUAUAUAGAAUCAACGAACAGAGCACUUGCUCUGUUUUUCAUAUAUAUUCUUGUCUUCUCUUUCAUUUUCAUUUUCUAGCCAACCAAACUUUGAGGAUUUUUCCUCAGAGGAUGAGAGGCUAGGCUCUUUGUCUCUUGGAGUGAGGAAAGCCGGGUAAGUUUCCACAUACAUAAUUUGGAAGUUUUGUUGUUUUAGUUUUUAAUGAAGAGAAAGUGUAACCCGUUAAUGGUUUUUAUCUUUUUAGUUAACUUAAAACGCCUUUAAAUCACCUGGGCCAACACUUGGUAAGGCAAGUGAUUUCCAACCAUGGAAAUGCACUAGUUUACCCCUUGCGAGCCUUUGGGAGGUGACUUCAAGGUAGGAUUUUCUAGAAUAGCCAACACUUGGUAAGCUUUUGGACUCCAAGGAGACAUCCAUUAGUUAUCUCUUGCGAGCUUUUGACAGGUAAUCCAAGGUUAAAGAUCACCUUGAAUGGCAAGUGCUAAGUGAGAGGUAUGAGCCAUUGCAAAGUGCAUCAGUGAGAGAGAUUUAGUGUUUGAACCCAUUAAUGGGAAGCAUCUGUACAACACCGGUUAGAGAAUUAACUAUAUGUUAAUUCUCUAAUGCGAGGAAAAGAAACAAGUGACCGGAACUCCCUUUUUGUAUGAGGAAUCUGAGCCUAGUGAUCUAAACUCCAAGAAACAUUUUUCUUUAUAAGUAAAAUCAGUUACUAUUUUUGGUUAGCUUAAAACCAACUUUUUCCAUUUAAACAUCUUUAUGUUUUCUUUUAAAGCUAACUUUGAAAUGAAAAGGCACCAAUUCAGCUUUGAAUUGAUAUCAUUUGUGAAGUGAAAACCCAUCCCAGUGAACGAUCCUAGAGCCACUAUACUAUAGUAGCUUUUUCUUUGCUACCCUAGUAUAUAGUGUUAUAGGUUAUAAAUUUUGUUGAUCACUCCCUCAAUCAAGGAGCACCAGUUAGACACGAAUCAGCUGAGACACCAAUUGGGCACGAAUCAAAUGGCGCCGUUGCCGGGGAUCGAACCUCGAAUCAAAUGGUGCCAUUGCCACUGCUAGGGACGAAUCAAGAUGCAUGACCAAAAUCGUAUCAAAUGUUGGAACUAAGAAAUCUUGAGAGCGAGUCAUGCAAUUAAGAACCUUCUAAGCAUCAUCUCAUCCAUAGAAAGUCUGAUCCUUCUUUAAUUAGUCUUUCAAUUCCAGCAGUACCAGUGCUCAAAUUUCUCCCAUGGGCAGCUAACAUGAGUACAGCAAAACUUUCAUUGAAGCUGGGUAAUUAAUGUGGAGAGAAAAAGGGAUAUAAAUGGAAAGACUAGAGAGGAUAAUGGUGGAUCCACCUAUAAAACAUCUCAUAACUUUCCCUACGUCUGUACUCAGUGGGUGAAUGGCCAGCUCCCUAUACAAAACAAAAAGAAUAAGGAAUAAUCCAAUUACCCUUCAGUGAAAAGAUGAAGAGAUUUAGGUGAAGAGUUUAUUAAUUUUCUUACCUUUAAAGUUGAAUAUGUUAAGCUAUAGGCCUUGUUGACAUACUUCCUUGUGUACCUAUAGCAAAUAUGCAAUGGAAUGAUUAUGAGACUGUCAAUGUGAAAGAAAAGAAGGAAAGAAAAGAAGAGGAAAUACCCUCCAAUUUGACCAUCCACAAACCACGGUCGCCAAUCACUACCUAAAGAAAUAUUGAGAGAUUUUAUCCAUUGCUCGAUGCCAACAUGUGGAAUAACCAUGUCAUGAUCACCACUGUAGGCAACAGAUCAAAAGUAAAUCCAUAUUUAGUUUAUACUUACAUUCUUGAAAUUAUUUCAUUUUAUGCGGAUUAUAAUUUAUGAGAGAUCACUUUAUGCUCCAAAAAACUGAUAAAGUUGUAAAUAAUCACCUGAAAACUAAGACUCGCAGGCCUGAGUUGGUGAGGUUUUUAUGAUAGCCAAACACAUUAUUGACAUUCUCAGUAUAAGAUAGGCUAAUGUUGCACCUAAAAAAUUCUUCCACUGUUCCCUGGUUGCAGCAUCAUAGAAGUAUCUACAUCAAUGGGAUUAGGAGUGGAUCGAUAUAAAUAGUAUCAGAGUUUAUUAUUGAUCAUGAAGUGGAAAUUUGUUUGACCCUUCAAGGAGUAUUUGUUUGCUUGAUUUCGCAAUCUUAUAGAACAUAACAAGGAUGAUGUGUAUGCAUGAAGAGUGAUUAUGAUAUCUCAUAUCGGAUAAGGAAAAAAGUUUAUGACAUUAUAUAUAUAUGAACUUCUAAUCAAAUAGGCAUAUUUUAAAACCGUAAGGACCCCUUGAACCCAAAGUGGCCAAGAUUUGCACAGUUAAAAACGAGCAGUUACAUAUAUGACAUAAAUAAAAUAAAUUUCACUUACCGGUCUAAUGUAAAGGGCAUCUUGGACGCUUUUGUAGUUCGCCCAUAUAUCAGAGAGCGAAUGCUCGAAAUUCUGCAUAAGAGAGGCAGAUAUAAAAUUGUACAGUAUUAUACUUACACAAUCUCAAACACACAGCAUUUAUAAAGGGAGGGAUAGGGGUUUACCCGACACCAAUCAUUGCCAGUUCUAUAUUGUGAUGGAAGGAGAAAACUUCUUGAAUUCUCCCGGAGAGAUCUUCUAAUUUCUUUGUUUUGCUUUGGGGAUAUGAAGGAACAUUUGGGCUCCAAAAUAUCCUGGAGACUUACUUGCUCUAUGCACUGCAAAUAUCAGACUUUAACUCAUCCUCAAGUUACGGAAAACAAUAUGCAGAAUGGAAACUGAAGUUAAGAGUUAACCCACGAAUUUACCAGUGAGAUAGAUUCAAGUGCUUCUACACAUUUUGCGUUGGAGGGAUCUAUAUCAACAUACCUGCCAUUGCAACCUGUUUUGGCAGCCUGAAGAAGUACAAAGCAUUAGUUUAUGAUAGAAUAUAAACAACGGUUCAAACAGGGGAGGAAAAAAAAAAGAGGUGAAAACCUAAAUCCAAAGUGAAUAAAAACUACAUGAUUUUGAUGAAGGCCGGUGUGCUCUAAUUAUUACCUCAUAGAGUGCAUCUGAUAUAAGUGCCAUCCGGUGAGCAUAUACGAUUCUUGAAUUCAAUUCAAUGGUCGUAUCAGUAUGAGGGCUUCCGAUCAAAUAUCCCUGAGAUCAUUCAAAGAACAUUAUAUUCAAUGUACUUUACAGAACUCAGAAGCUAUAAUCUAAUGGUCUAAAUGGUCAUAUUACUUUGAGAUUAAUGUGGGGUUCUUCUCCAACUCCAUUUCCUGCAAGUCAAUAAUUAAUCAACCAAGGCUCCAUAAAAUCAUUUGACUCAAAAUAUUAAAUGAAAUGCCCUUAGUUCCAUAUGUAAUGGUUUACCAUCCAUUAUUUCCUGAGCAAUGAUGGGAGCAAUUAGGCCUGAAUAGGAAUCAGCCCCAAUAAAGAGUGGAUUCAACUUGAAAUCCGGGUGAUCAUUCAACCACUGCAUCACAACUCAAACAAGACGUAGAAAAUGAAUUCAAUUGUAGCGGUAUAGGGCAUAAAUAUCGAUCAUAGUUGAGAUACAUAUAUAAUUGCUAAAGAACAAUUAGGCCAACUCAAAUAUAUACUAUAUAUCAAACACAUUAAUUUUCUUAAUUCUUUUGAAGUAUCUCAACUCACAUUUCUCAAAAACCCAAGAGUCUGAAUGACGGACAAUGUGUCUGAGGUGGUGUAGGCUUGGGACGUUGUUGCAUAAGAGAAGCCAGUACCCACAGGUGCAUCUACAAAUAUUAUGUUGGCCGUCUGCAAUUCAUCAAAUCAAUUCAAAUUUAAAAUUCAGACUUUUUUUUUUCAAAAAAAAAAACAACAGUGUUAAAUUUUAUACCUUAGUCCAUGAGUGAGGGUAAGGUAGGAACGUUGGUAAACCUCCAAUAUAAUCUGUAGUGUUGAAAACUACUGGGCCUACAGAGGAACAUAAAAUAUUUGAAGCCAUUUCUGCUAGCAAUCACCAAUUACAGAAAGGAAAAAAAAAGAAAAAACAAACAAAGAAGAAAAAAGGAAAAUAGUCCAUUGUGGUCAUUGGACUUUCAAGCUUCUUGAAAAGCUGCUUAAAGCUUUUUACUAAAUUAAAAGCGUUUAUGUAAAGUAUAAUAUUACCGAAGUUAACGUCAUCAAAGUUUAUUAAUGAAAUAAGGAUUUUCAUGUGUAUUUAAUAUAUGCUUUUCACAAUGGAAAAUUUAAAAUCUUUCCUUAUAAAAUAUUAUUCUCAGUUUUGACACUUCUUUCAGACCUCUAACUGAUAUCCCAGAUAAUAUUUUUUAUAGUUCUUCCAUUUAUAGUGUGCUCUGGCCGCAUUGGAUCCACCUCUCCAUCAUUUUUUCACCAGUAAGGUCAAACUAAACUUAAAGAACAGUAAAGUAGUUAUCAUUGUUUUUCCCUCACUAUAUAGACCUUAAUAGUCAAAUUUCAACUCUUAACACUGCGUGGACUUUUGCUAACCUGUGUUGUAUGCAUGCCCUUCUUCAAAGUACUUUUCAGUUGGGACUUGGGAUACAAUCUAAAGCAAGUUUUUUCUGUAAAAUAGAAGUCUGUACAUAAAUAUAUGUAAGGGGCAAAUGCCGUUGUUCCCCUCCGUUCCGCUCAGCGAGGGUUGCCCUUCCAGAGGCAUUACAAUUUAGGGGUAUUUUUAAAAUUUCAAUAUCUGAGGGUUACAUAAAAAACCUUAAUUUUGCAUCGUCAAUAUCUGAGGCAAUCUGUCGAAUUUCUGUUUUCUUUUGUUUUUCUCUAAUUUCUUCAUUAGGAAUCGUUGCAAGAAAAUCAACGAUACAAUAUAACUCAACGAGUAGAAGAAGAAGUGGAAAUCUCGGCAUACCAACUUGAUAAAAGAAGCCAUUCAAACCAGAACAACCAGGGCCUCCAUUCAUGUAAAGAAUAAGAGGGUCAGCUCCAGGGUUGCCUUGAGACUCCACAAAGUAGUAGAAGAACUCUAUAUCACCCACGCUCACAUAUCUGACCAAUACAACAACUCCAAUAUCAAUUCAAAUGAUGAAAAUGCUAUAUAAACUAUAAAUAAUAAAUCUCCAGAAAACUGAUAACAUACUCACCCAGUUUCAAGCUUAAAGGGUAGUUCACCAGAGAAACCUGGUAGAGUCUUGACAAUGUUGCGGGACACUGCCUUCCCAGAGAAAAGCAGAAGCAGCAGAAAAUGCAGAUACAUGAGACCCAUGAACUUUCACUCUAGUAGUUGCAGAGUAGUGAUCAGGGACCAACAGGCCGUGGAUAUCUCAAUUCGAAUUAUGUAGUGAAAUGGGUUGGGAUGGACAUUUCACAUGAAUUGAACGUUAGAAGAAAGAAGCAGGAACGUUAGGUGAAUCAAGGGAUCCAUUAAAUGAUUUAUAAACUAAAAUUUAUUAAAUAAUUUCUGUCAAUGAUCUAUCCACGUGGAUCUUUGACCAAAAAAAUUUAUUAUCCAUAUUUAUGAGAGCGUGUGAAAUUUAUUAGCCUGAUGUGAUCACGUUGGUUUAGGUAUUUUAUAAUACUUGAUAGUUUUUUAAUCUAUCCACGGUUUCAGUGUUCCAUUUUUUUUAUUAGAUGGCCCACUACAAAAAUUUAUUUUCAUUAAGAUGCGGACCGUGGGCAUUGGGCAUUGGUUAAAAUAAAGGGAGAAUUAUAUUUUGAAAAUUAAUAUUUGUCCAUAUAUCAUGCAUAUUUAAGUUCAAUACCCAAACAAAAUAUGAAAAUUAAGAUGAACGAUAUUGUCUUUCAUUAAUCUCUAAAAUACCCUUAACCCUUAUAUAGGCCCAAGUGAGUGAAUUUUAAUUUUUUUUGUGUUUUUUUUCCCUUUUUCUAUUCCCUAUUAAGUAUUACUCAUUUCUAACUUUUUUUUUUCUUUCAAUCUAUAUUUCUAUUUUAUGUCAAAUAAAAAAUAAUAAUGUUUUUUUGUUUUCAUUUUUAAAGAUAUUGAAUCUUUUUACUCUUAUUAUAAGCAAUGACAAAAAUUUUAGGAUUUUUCAUCCAAAUAUUUUUUAUCUUUUUGUAUUUAUCUUUUAGUUUAAUUUUCAUUUUUUAUUUUAAAUUUAUAUUACCCUUUCAUUUAUAUUUUUCUCUUAUUUUUUAUAUUUUCUACAUUAACCAUAUUUUAAAAAAUUUAAAAGUUGACUAUCACUUCACUUUAUUAUAUAUAUAUCCUUUUAGCUUUUUAAUUUUUAAUGUUUUUAUUUUAAAAUUUUUUAAAAGAUAAAUUUAUUGAAAAAAAUAAUUAAGAUAUGAAGUUUUAAUAUUAUAUUAAUAAUUUUUCUUAUCUAGAUAGACUAAUGCAAAAUAUUUUGACUCACAACAAGAAAAUUGUCAAUACAAUUUUUUAGUUAAACUUUAGAAAUUAAAUUUCAAAUAAAAUAUAUUAUAUAAAAUUUUAUCUAAAAAUUAUUGAAAGUGAUAUUUAAUUUUUUUUAUUGACUUUCAAACUUAUCUAAUUUUUUACUUGAAAGGUAAUAAAACAUGUUUACAAAAAAAAAAAAAGUUUUUUCAUUUUUUAAAUAAAUGAGUAUAAAUAUAUUAAAAGAAUUAAAGAUAAUCUUAGUAAAAAAAUUUGAUAAAUUUGAUUAUAAUUUUAAAUAUAUAUUCAUUUGGAUAAAAUUUCACAAAAAUAAUAAUAAUAAUAAUAAUGGAAAGAAAUAACAUUGCUAAAACUACAAAAACAAAAUAUGCAAUUACAAAUUUGAUGAUGAAAUUUAAAAAUAAAAUUUGAAACAAUUCUUGAGUGAGAGAAUUUGAGUGGGGAAAAAAUAUUUGAGCGGAAAAAAAUGGGAAAGUUUUUCAAAAUCACUUGAAAUCCUUAACAAAAAGUAGUCUUGUACACCCUUAUAUAAUUAGUAAAUUUGUUUUGUACAGUUAGUAUAAUACCCUUGAACAAUAACUCAAAUUUCAUACAUCAUCUCAUAAAAAUCUGACAAUAGGUCAGUUAACCAUGUUUGCAUUGGUUUGGUUUGGUUUUAAGAAAGAAGAAAAAUUGUUGUAUAAUUUUGUUUUACAAUCAUCAUAAGUGAGGUACCUAUUCAAAUGACCAUAUACAAUUUAGAUAAAGUGCACGAGAUGAAUGUAUGCUUAACCAAUAUGUGUAAGGAAUGUCAUUUAUUAUCGGUUAGGGGAAAUAAACAAACAAGUUUUUCAGAAUCACUUAAAAUCCUUCACAAAUAAUAGUCUUGUACACCCUUGUACAGUUAAUAUAUUUGUCAUGUACACUUAGUGUAAAUACCUUGUACAAUGACUCAAAUUCCAUAUACCCCCUACUCAAUGUGUAACCAUAGGUAGGUUAACCAUGUUUUCAUUGGUCUGUUUAAAAAAAUAGUGGAAGAUGGAAAAACAAAAUUUCUCUCAAACAUCAUUAGUGGGAUAAGUAUUUGAAUUAUCAUGUGUGAAUUAAAUAAAGUGCAUAAGAUGAGUAUGUAAUAGAGGAAUGUGUACCUUAAGAGUGUGCAAUCCUUAGAUGACAAGGCAAAAAAAAAAAAAAAUUGUCCAAAAUUAAUUAAAAUCUUUCACAAAUGAUAGCCUUGUAUACCCCUUGUAUAGUUAGAACAUUUGUCUUGUACAAUUAGAAUAUUUGCCUUGUCCAAUUGAACAUUUACCUUGUACAGUUAGUAUAACACCCUUGUACAAUGGUGCAAAUUUCAUCCAUAUGCAUACAUUAUAUGCAUAUAUGAUGUGUGAACCAUGUUUCCAAUGGUUUGAUUUAAAAAUGAUAUAAAACGUAAAAACAAAAUUUUUCUCUAAACAUCGCUAUUAAAGUAAGUAUUUGAAUUGUUAUAUGCAAAUUAAAUAAAGUACAUGAAAUAAAAGAAUUUGUGGUAGGAGAACGUAUAAUCCUUAGAUGACAAGAAAAAAAAAAAAGUUGUUCAAAAUGUACAGUUUUGUACACCCCUUGUACAAUUAGUAUAAUAACCUUGUAUAAUGACAUAAAUUUCAUAUAUAUGUAUAAAUUAUAUCCACAUGAGUGUGUAAACUAUGUUCCCAAUAGUUUGACAUUUAAAAUAAUUAAAACAAAUAAAACGUUAUGUUAUUUUAUUUUCAAUGCAAAAUGUAAUUAAAAAUAAGACAAAGAAAUUACUUAAAAACUAUUAUUUAAGCCAAGUUUAUUUAUUUAUUUCCUUUUAUUUUUGGAAAUAAAAGAAAAAGAAUAAAAAAAAAUUAUUUAACCAUAAGAAAUAUGAAUAUAAGAUUAGUUAGAAAAUACCAAAUUUAUUUAUUUAUUUCAUUUUAUUUUUGGAAUUAAAGAAAAUAAAAUAAAAAAUUUAUUUAACCAUAAAAAAUAAUGAUAUAAGAUAUGCUAAAAAAUAGAAAUAAUCCCAAAUUUAUUUACUUAUUUCAUUUUAUUUAUUUAAAUUAGAAAGUAAUUUAUUUUAAUAGAUUAAAAUGUGCACAAUUGAUUUAUUACUUUGUUAAUUAUGAAUAUAUUAAAAUUUUCUAUUAGACAAAAAAUAAAUAAAGAAAAUAAAAUUAAAAAGAGUAAUAAAUAUAUAUAAUUUAGUUAUUUAAUUAUAUUUCAUGUAAAAGAUAGUCCCACAGAAAACACAUAAUUGAUCAAUUUCUUUGUUUAAUUGUAAACAUACUAUAAUUUUUUUUUAUUAAAAUAACUAAUGAAAAAAAAAUGCAUAAUCAAUUAAUGAAAUUUAAUUCUUUUCAUUAUUUUCAUAUAAAAAAUAGUACUAAACAAGGUUUUCAAUUUUUAUUUUUAAAUAUAGUUUUCAUUUUUUAAUUAAAUAUUUUUUCAAAAAGAAAAUAUAAAUCAUAUUACCAUUUUUUUAGAAAGUAUUUUUUUUAAAUAGUUUUUGAACAUAAUUUUUCUUUAUUUAUAAUUUAAAAUAGAAAAUAAUGCUGAUUUUCAAUUAUUUUUAAUUUAAAAAAAACAAUGAAAAAUCCAAAUUGUUAAAAUAGAAUUAUUAUAGUUGCAUGAAUAGUGGUGCAAUAAAGACAAAAAAAGGUUAUGUGAAAGGUCAUUGGGUAUUUUAGUCCAUCACUAUUUUAUAUCUUUAAAAUGUAAUAUAUAAAAAUUUGAAGGAUAUAUUGGUCUUUUAACAUCUUAUAUCAUUUUCAUCAAUUAUGGAAGUUAUAUGGACCAAAUGUUAAUUUUUGGGCCCAAAACACAAUUCUCCCUAAAAUAAACACCAUCAAAUCAAUAUUGAUGGGAUUGUUUUCCUUUUUCAUAUGUAAGAUUGCUUUCCAAAGCUAAAAAGAAAAAAAAAAAAAAGAACCUCAAACCUACUUUAAUAAUAUCUUCCUUUGGCAUCUUAAAACCCGUCCCCCAAUCUAUCAUAAAAACCUCACUAAUCCUUAAUCUAAAACCAUUUUAACUGUCAUACAUUUUUCAAUAUCUACUACUUGUAAUUUGCACACUCAAACAACAAACCCGUGAAAAGCCACAUGUGGCAAAAAUACCACUCAAGUUUUAUUUGUGAACUCCACUAAUGGAAAAAUAAGAAGUUAAAAAAUUUGUUCACUCUCUACAUUGAACUUGUCUUUGUGGAGAACAUUUUAAGGGGACCUCUACAUUGAACUUGUCUUUGAGGAGAACAUUUUAAGGGGACAUUUGUAGAAGGGCAAAAUUGAACCUUUUAUAAUUUAUCAUAUAUUCAAAUUAAGUUAAUUAUGUGGCAAAUAAAAAUUUUCACCUAGUACUAAAUGCAUCAAAUCAAAUUAUGACAUAUAUCACAUGAAUCUCAUACAAAAAGAAGGAAAGUUUCAAAUGAAAUAAAGAAAUAAAGAAUUUAGGUAAUUAAAAUACAUAUCAAGAUUAAACAAUCGUUCCCUUGGUGAGCAUAAGCCAGGCCAAAGUCCAAGCUUUGCCCAAUACACAUCAAAGUGCAAGCUCAACCCAAGACAUGCCAAAGUCCAACCUUAGAUUCAAGGUACGUCGAAGUUGAAGCCUUGGCCCAAGACAUGCCAAAGUCUAAAUCAAGUUCCUUCUUAGAAGAAUCAAUGGACUAGAUAGAGAUUGUACUUCAUCUCUCAAAUCAAUCAAAUUUCAAUUUGACUACUAAUUUUUCUUCGAAAGAAAUUCAUGUGUACUCUUUCUAAAUAAUUCUAGAAAAUAAUCAUUAUUUUCUUUUUUAUUAUAAAAUGAUAAAUAAGGAAAGAAAUAAAGAAUAUAUAUUUACUAGAUAAAUUGAAAUAGAUAAACAUAAAUGUAGCCAUAACAUCCCAAAUACAAUCCCAAAUUCCAAAGAGAGAAAAUAAGCAGAUAAACUAUAACUAAAUACAUAUAAAACAAACACUCUUUUCUAUGACUAAUACAUCAACCAAGGUAUCUAUAAAUCCACAUCCAAAGAGGAAAAUGGACAUUAAUUAGACCUUAGAUGAGAUGCAACCUAUGACUCCACUAUAGCAACUCUCUCAUUAAUAAUGCUAUAUAUGGAUCUUAGUCUCCAUUCAUUCUAAGAAUGAAUCGAUAGAUUUAAUGCUCACAGAAAUCCCAAUAAGUGAUCAAACAAGAUGUUAUAGAAUAUCAUUGAUGGAUGAAUCAAUUGGAAGUGGUGUUAGAUCGACAAUAGGAUUAGUCGAAGGGGUAACUCGAGAAGGUAGAGGAGUUGCUCCAUGACCAAUUCCUUUAGCUCAAUGAAGAACAAGUGUACGGUUAUGACCCCUAGAUGAUUCAACCUCAUCUUGAUCUUACUUAAUAACUCUAAUUGCAUCCUUCUCAUCCCCCACUACCGCUGCCUAGGCAAUAUGACUCGCAUGCCUUAACUAAAAGGCCUAGUUAAUAGGCACAGUUUAAUGGAGGAUAGGGAGCUCAUGCUAGAAAUCAAGCCCCUACUUAAGACCGAUCCAAGAAAUGAUAAAUAGGGAAUAGUAAACUAUUGACAUGAUAAUUAGAGGUAUAAGAUCAUAUAACAUCAAGUAUAAAUCUCUUGAUGUUGAUAUUCUUUCUAAUGAGCAUACAAUGAAAUAAACAAAAUGAGUAGUUGUUUGAUGAAUCUAGAUAUGAUGGGAAACAUACUAAACCCAAAUUGCUCUUUGUAGAGAGUGCAAACAAUGUUCUCAUCAUUAGAAAGCGAUGUUGGGAAUCCCAAACUACUUUCUUCCCUAACCCUAGAUCUUAUAGGGUGCAUGUUAUCUAUCCCUAAGGCUCUUUAGAUAUAACACAACAAAAAAUAAUGAUUCAAAAAUACUUGUGAUUUUGACGUUCCUAGACUAAUACCUAUUAGUGAAGCUAUCUCAUAUGGAUAGUAGAUCUCGCAAAUCAAAAGUCUUCUACUCAAUGGCUUUAUUUUUAGAUCCUAGCAAGCAAAGUGGUGGGAUCUUCUGAGAGGGUUGGUCGUUAGGGCUCUCCUAUCUCUAAAGUGAAUAAGAAGACAAGACUUUAAGUCGUAACCCCUAAAAAGGGCUUAUAUAGGCUUUUGAUGGUUUAAGUGGCUUAAGUCCAUCUUCAACUUAGGUCACUUAAUCCAACUCACUUCAGUUCUAAGUGAUUAAUUACCCAUAUUGGGCUCUAGUUAAUCAAUUAACCCAAUUUAAAGAGACCAUGCACUAACUUUGGUGCAACCUUAUGAUUUUAUCAAAAUGCCCUCAUCCAAAUAUCUCCAAGAUCCUUGACAUCAAUGUUACCAAGUGAAGAGUCCUAUAUCUAAGAUUGGUCACUCCCACUAUAAACAUAUCUAGUUUUAGGAAAAUCCACAUUCCUUGAUUCCUUGGCCCAACCCAGCUUUGGGGUAGUGAUGACCCGGGAUCAAAACAAGACUUAAGAUGAUAAUGAAAGUCCAUAUCACUUAACUCCUUCGACCAACCCAUCUUUAGGAUGGUGAUGGCACAAAUCUAAAUUUGUUUAGUCUUGGAAACUAUGGGUUUGCCUAGGACUCUCUCCCACUUAAUAUUUUUAAAUAAUUAAGAGUUUUAAAAACAUUACUAAUUACCUUGAUAAAUAAAUUAUCUUCUAUAAAAAUUUCAAAAAAUAUUUAUUUCUUAAUUAAAAGUCUAGUCUAAUAAGAGAAUGUAAUCUUAAAAAAAUUUAAAAGUUAUAAAAAUCUUUACUUUCAAAUUUUAAAAGUUAUUUUCAUCAAAUUCUCAUUCUUUACACAAUUCUAAUUUAAUUAAUAUUUUAUCUUAGAAAUAUUUUCAAAGAAAUUUAUUUCCAUCAAAUCACUAAAUUUGCUUGAACCUUUUGAUAAUGUCCUUUAAUGACAAAUUAUCUUUUAUGAAAAAUUUCAAAAAUAUUUACUCUCCAAACUAGAAACUCCAAGUUAUGAGGUUUUGAAAACUUGAGAGCAUCUUAUCUAAUUAGGAAAUAUUUAGAAUAUAUUUGGCAGGGAAUGAAUUAAUCUAUGAAUUAAAUUUUUUGAGUAAAACUCCUCAAGUCAAACCAUUUUUUUUACAAUUAAACCAUCCAAAAAUAUAUAAGCAGAAUGUAACUCGUAUUUUGAAAAAGAAAAAAAAAAGCCCAAUGAAUAUAAUGAAAUGAAAUUUAUUGAACCAAAUUUUUAAAUAAGUUUCAAAUUAAAUUAAGAUGACAUUUUUUUUCUCCUCUUUUAUUUUCUAUUCAUUUCAUUUAAAAUUUAUUUUCAUGUUUUCUGAAUAGUCAAAUUUUAAAUAUAACAUAAUUAUUUAGAAAAUAAUUGAUGCUAUACAUUUGAAAAGAUUAAUUAAUUAGAAUUUUACACAUUUAUUUCCCAUACAUUAAAAAAGUAAUCAUAACCCUAGAUUUUACUAUAAAACAAUGUUAAUCAAUAAUGGUUUGUUUGGUAACUGAUUUUGAAAGCAAUUUUUUGUUUUUUAGAAAAAAAAUGAGAAAAUAUGUUUGGUAAUCAGAAAAUUGUUUUAACAAAAAAUAAUAAUAAUAAUGUUUUCAGAGAAUAUAUUUUAGUUGUUUUCAAUUGAUUUCACUUAUUUUCUAAGGAUUAUUUUUAAAAAUAAUUAUAUAAAUACAUAGAAUAAUUAAAAAUAAAGUAUUAUAUAUAAAAGUUAUUUUGAAAACAUAUUUAAAAAUAUAUAAAACAAAUUAAAUGUAUUUCAAGUUUUCAAAUAGAUAUUUGUUUUACAAAACACCAUAAGAGAAUAGUUCUAAAAAACUCUCUUUCAAAAUUGUUUUCGAAAACAAUUAUCAAACAUGACCUAAUUAAAUUUCCACUCAAUAAAUAAUUUCAUUGUAGAUUUUGGGAAUUCUUAAAACUACUAGAAACUAAUAUUAUCAUUGUAUUGGAACUGAACAAUGUUGAUACUAAGUCUACAAAACAAUGUAGGCAUGAAUUCAAAUAUUAUUUUACUUACAAUUAAUGGCCAUUGCAUAGAUUCCCUAAGCCAGAAGUCUUAACACAACACUAGAGAUUGCAUUAACGUACGAUAUAAGAGGAUAAUAAUGGAUCCACCUAUAGAAUAUCUCAUAGUAUUCCCUACGCUUGUACUCAAGAGGUGAGUGGCCAGCUCUCUAUACAAAAUAACAAGAAUAUGUUGAAAUUGAUAUAUCCCAAUAAUUACCUGAUAGGUCCCAUUCAAAGAUUCGUGUACUACAACAAUUGAUUACAAGUAUUCUUGUUAGGUGAGAAUAGAGAACACAAAGAAAUUGGGUUAGAAAAUGCCAUAUCCUUUAUUGAUGUCCAUGAGUAAUAAAUACAAAUCAAUCUAACAAACUUUCAGCAUAUGUCGUCGAAACUAAAGGUCCUUAACACCAUAAUGAAAUAACUUCAAAUAAUAAAAAAUAACAAUAGCGAAAGAAAAAAUCAAUGCAACAACUUUUAUUCUUCUACCACUACUCAUGACUCGUUCUAGCACAUGGUUGUUAAUCCAUCCUAAUUCCUUAGCCAGAAGAGAAUAGCAGCUUGACUAUGAAAUGAUCCCACAACCACUUGAAUGCGUACAUGUCUUCAUGCAUGAUAUUUUGGAUUUCUGAACUGAUCACAUAACCAUCUCCAAGCUUUUUCUUUAGUAGUGAUACAUGAAAAACUGGGUGCAGGCGCUCACUAUCGGGUAGCUUUAGUUUAUAUGCGAUGACUUCCACUCUCUCCUCGAUUGGAUAUGGUCCAUAGUAUUUUCUUGCAAGCUUUUAAUGAGCGCGUCGAAAAGCUGACUCUUAGCAAUAAGGCUGCAGUUUGAGGAAAACAAGAUCGCCUUCUUGAAAUGUAACAUCCCGUCGGCCAUGAUCUGCUAUUUGCUUCAUUCGAUUCCUUGUUGUCGCCAAGUUUUCUGUAAUGACCGGGUAUUUUAUGCCACGUUAGCAUUUUUAGUUUGAAAAGUCUUAUUUUGUGUGAUGGUUGAAAAGUCAAAAAGAAAAGUGUUUGGAGAACACGUGUCAAUUUCGGAUUGGUGAAUUUCAUUUUUUUUGUGUCGGUCAAAUAGACGAGUUGAAAUUUUAUGCCAUGUCAGCCUUAGGGUAGAAAAUUUCUUAAGAUUUUAGAAAUUGAAAAUUUCCGGAAACGAAAAACGAAAAAAAAAAAUGAAUCAAUUAAAAAUUAAUUAGAAUUAAUUAAGAAAAUUUAAAUUAAAUUGAAGAAUAAUAAAAUUGAGAAAAAUUAGUUUUAGAUUGAUGUUAAUAAAUAAAUUUGUAUGUUAAAAAAAAAAGAAUUGGAAAUCAAAUAAAACAAUUAGAAUAAACAAAAGAAAAGUAAAAAUAAAAGAAAUAAAUUUUUCUUUAUGCAAAUGGGCUUUUUGGGAGUGGCCCGUAAGUAUGGAUGGGAAUAAAAUCUUUGGGCCUUAGUUUUGGGCUUUAGUGGCUGGUAGUGGUAGGAAUGUUGAAGUGGGCUAUUAAAAAAAGAGGGGGGGGGGGGGGGGGAAUUGGAAAACUGGCAGCACGCACGCGGGGAGAGAGAGAGAGAGAGGGGCUACUGUGCAGAAAUUAGGGCACUCGCCAGAUCUUUGACCGGCCGUUUGGACGGCCAAACGACCUCCAUUUCGGCCCAAAUUCGGAGGAAGUGCUCUAUUCGACUAGAGGAACAAGUCUACGGUGGCUGAUUUCAUUUUUAACGGCCAAAUUCUCAGAUUUGUGGUAGGGAAAAACUAACCCUAAAACUCAAAUUUAAUGUAUUUUUCAUUGGAAAAAAAUUAUAAAUCAGAUAAUUAUGAGUUAAGUAGGUAAUUGUGAUGUUGUGUGAAUUUUCUGGAAUGAUUUGAGAUUUUUUCUGGAUUUUUUUGUAAUUUCCGGAAUUCUUUGUAAUUGAUAAAUAAUUAUUUUAGGUUGUUAAAAAUUGUUAGAAAUGUAGGAAAAUUCCGGAAUUAGGGCAAGAUUUCAAAUCUAGUGAUUUAUGAAUUUUUGAAAACUGAUUGGAAUAAUUGCGGUAAUUUUAUUGUAGAAAAUUAGUUAUUUCCAAAUAUUAGGAAUUAUUAGAAGUAUUGAAAAUUUUUAAAUUGUGAUAUAAAUUCAAGUAUGUUGAUGUGUGAAUUUCUAAAAAUUUGUUGGUAUAUUUUCGGGAAUUUUAAAUGUGAAAAUUUUAUUUUAUUGGGUUAUUGAGAAUAUUGAAAUUAUUGGAAUUGUAGAAAUUAUUGAGGAAUUUUGGAAUUUGUGGCAUUCAUUUGCAUCAUGGUUGUAUGAAAAAAAAAAAUUUUUGUGAAAAGUGUAUGAAAUGGAAAAAAAAUAAAAUAGUGAUGAAAAGUGAAAGCCCGUGUGAGGCGAAUUAAGAAGGGAGAGAGAUCCCUAGGGUGAAAGACCCAAAAAGUUGCCUUGGGAAGACUCCAAAUGGGGAGUAUAUUUGGGUGCGGACGCGUAUCCUUCGGUGAAAGCCCAAGAACGAUAGUGCAUUGUAUGACUGUGUGUCACACGUUCAUAUGCAUUCAUUUAAUGAUUGGAUGUUGUGGGAUUGAGUAUAAUGUUAUAUGUUAAAUUGUGUGACUUGAUUUAUAUUGGUAAACUGUUGUGUUUGGGUUAUUGAAAUAUAGUAAUCCCCCAUUAACCCUUUGGGUGUUAGACACCCUACUAAGCAAUGUGGAAAUGCUCACCCCUUCUUUUUUAUAUAUUUUUAGAUGCAGAUAUCACUCCUGAGGAUCCACAGGUGGGACAGGGAGGACUUCAGGAUGCCCCUGGAGCGGUUUAGUGGAAUGUGUUUUAUUUGUUUAUUGUGUUUGUGGUAAUGAGACCUUGUAAUAAGUGAAUUAUGGAUGAUGUAAUAAGACCUUAAUUUGAUUAAGUGGAUUUUUAUGAAAUUUUAUUUUGGAAUGCAAUGAUGUUUAUUAAAUCUUAAUGUGUUUGAGUAAGGUUUGAAAUAUGGUUAGUUGGUGAGAACCUAGUGGGACUUAUAUGUGAAAAAAAAAAAAAAAAAUUCAGAGUGUUUUAGUUGACUACCAACGUGGAAUAGGAGAAACCCUUAGGGUCAAACCUUUGACCUGGGGUCACGGGCCAAAUUUUGGGUCGCCUGGAAUUUGGGUCGUGACAUUUUCCUUGACAUGUUUCAACAAUGCAUAUCUAGUUGCUAGGCUAUGGUCAACUUCAUCAACGGGUGAAAACCUCAUCGAAUACAAUGGAAUAACAAGGGAAGGUCGCCUAUAAAGAGCCUGGAAUGGGGUCAUGCUUGUAGAAGAAUGAUAGGCAGUAUUCUACCACAACUCAGCCCAAUGAAGAAACGUACUCCAUUGGCAUGGUUGUUGAUAGACGAAGCAACGCAUAUAUUGUUCCACACAGUGGUUGACAACUUUGGACUGGCCAUCCGUUUGAGAAUGGUAGGCAAAACUCAUCUUGAGUUGUGUACCCGACAUUUUAAAAAAUUCUUGCUAGAACUUGCUAAUGAAAAUGGGGUCCCUAUCAUUGAUAAUAGACUAUGGCAUUCCAUGUAGUUUCACAAUGCCCUCAACAAUUUUUUCCACCACCACCUUUGUUGUAAAUGGAUGAGAUAAGGGUAGAAAAUGUGCGUAUUUGCUGAGACAAUCAAUGAUCACUAGAAUGGUGUUUCGACCAUGGGAGGAUGGCAACCCUUCAAUGAAAUCCAUAGUAAUAUCAUCCCACACUUGGCAAGGGAUAAGAAGUGGUUGGAGGAGUCUUUCUAGAGAGAGAUUAUCAGUUUUGUUUUUUUGGCAAACUUCACAAGAUUGAACAUACUCCUUGAUUGUAAGAUGCAUGGAAGGCCAAUAGAAUUUUUGUACUAUCCUCUUGAACGUGCAUAAAACACCUGAGUGACCCCCCAUUCUUGUAUCAUGGAAUUCUUUAAGCAACUGGUGCAUAAAUGGUGUGUUAAGUGGUAUCACUACCCGAGUCUUGUAAAAGACUAACCCAUCCUGCUAAGAGUAAGGUUGUCCUGAAUUGUUGUGAGCUAAUUAACAUAAGUGUUCCAUAAAUGGAUGAUCUUUAGCUACCGACUUAAUGUCCGCUCAUAACUCAACAUGCGAUAUAAACAAAGCAUUGAGAAUAGGACUCCCCGAGACCCACGAUAGCACAUCAGCCACCAAAUUUUCACGCCCUGGACGGUACACAAUCUCAUAGUCAUAACCCAACAGCUUUAUGACCCAAUUUUGUUGCUCCGAAGUCCUAAUGCGUUGCUCCAUGAAAUACUUGAGAUUGCGGUGAUCUGUCUGAAUGAAAAUUUUCUUGCCAAGUAAAUAUAGUCUCCAUGUAUGCACUGCUUGCAGAAUAGCUAACAUUUCUUUGGCGUAGGUGGACCAAGAGCAUUUGGAAACUCCUAAGGCCCGACUCAUGACGGAAAUUGGUUGGCCUUGUUAGGUGAGUACAACACUAAUUCCUUCUUCAGAGGCGUCAGUCUCUACUAUAAAAGGCUCAUUGAAGUUCGGCAUGACCAAAAUGGGAGUGGAGGUCAUGGCGUGCUUGAGCUUGUGGAAGGCAUCUUUAGCUUCAUCGUUCCACUUGAAUUGACCCUUUUUAAGCAGGUUAGUGAGAAUACGUGCUAUGAGCCCAUAAUUUCGCACAAACUUCCGAUAGUAACUUGUAAGACCCAAAAACCCAUGUAAUGCGAAAAUAUCAUUAGGUCAUGGCCAAUUGAUCAUUACCUCAAUCUUUCCUUGAUCCACCUUGACCCAUUGGUUCGUCAUGAUGUGGCACAGAUAUUCCAAUUUGUGUUGCCCAAAAACACACUUGUUGGCUUUAAUAAAAAACUGGUGAUGUUGUAAUAUGUCAAAAGCCUUCAUAACAUGUUCAAGAUGCAUGGUCCAAUUAGGGCUAUAAAUUAAUAUAUCAUCAAAGAAUACUAAUACGAAUUUAUGAAGAUAAGGGCGAAAAAUGGAAUUCAUAAAAGCCUGAAAAGUAGGAGCAUUACAAAGGCCAAAAGGCAUAACCAGAUAUUCAUAACCAUUAUGUGUACAAAAGGUUGUUUUGUGAGUGUCAUAAGGAUUUACCCUUACUUAAUGGUAUCCUGCCCCUAGAUCUAAUUUGGUAAAGUAUGUAGCCCCAUAGAGCUCAUCAAGCAUAUCAUCAAUAGUGGGAAUGAGAAACCUAUCUUUAAUAGUCACAACAUUAAGUGCCCUAUAAUCAAUAUAAACACGCCAAGUUUCAUAUUUCUUUUUAACUAGUAGAACAGGUGAAGAGAAAGGACUAGUGCUAGGUUUAAUAAGCCCCAAUUUAAGCAUGUCUUGAACCUGUUUCUCAAUCUCAGCUUUUUGAAAAUGGGCAUACUUGUAGAGCCUUACAUUGACGGGUUCAAUACCAUCCUUAAGGGGAAUACAAUGAUCCACUUCACCGACAAGAGGUAGUUGCGUGGGUUCUUUAAAAAUAUUUGCAUAAGCUUCUAGUGCCUUCUGCAUAUCCGAUUUCAUUUUGGGCCUAGCCACCUUGUCGAGAGACUGUAAAUAAAUAACAAAUAUUGAACUUCCUUAUCGAACUUCCUUCGAAAUCGCCUAUAAUGAUGUUGAUUGGAUGGUUUGACUAUUUGACCCUUGCAGCUUACGUUCUUGGUCUUCCCAUUGGAAUUCCAUGGUCAUCUUCUGCCAGUUACACAUCAACAGCCCAAGUUGUUCAAGCCAUUGUACUCCUAGCACGAGAUCAAGUUCUAUAAGGAGUAGAAAGUAGAGGGUUAAUGCGAAAGGAAUACCCUGAAGGAUAACCCAUAUGUGUUCAAACCUUCCCUGACACUUGAGAUUGCUACCAUUAACCACUCGAACGAAAAACGGUCCGUCGAAAUAACUGAUAGUUGAAGUAUCUCCACCAUUUUAGCAUUGAGGAAGUUGUGUGUGGAUCUCCUAUCAAUAAACACCUCUAUUUCGUGAUGGCCAAUUUGAGCCUUAAUCUGCAUGGUGCAAGGGAUGGACCAACUGGUGAGCACGUGUAAAGAAAUUUUUGGUUCAAUUAGAUCCGCAUGUUGGUUCUCUAUUGAAUUUUCAUCCACAACUUCUUCACACAUAAUUUCAUUGGUUUUGGUGUGGCCCUCCAGCAAUAGCAGUUAAGGUCCUUGGCAUCUAUGUCCUACAGUAAACUUGUCAUUACAAUUAAAACAAAGUCUUUGUGCACGUCUUUGUUGCAUCUCAUCCCAAGUUAAUCUCUUUACAGGUGAAGCUUUUGUUGGUGUUGGUAGAGCUAACAAGGUGCGAGUAGGUAGUGGUGGGCGUGAGAUCCUUAUUUGUCUCUGGAGUUGUUCAUCCUUCAUGCGAGCUAAGCUUGUAGCCUCCUUCAAGGUUUUAGGCUUAAACAUACGAAUUGCUUUUGAAAUUUCGGACCGCAAACCACCCAUGAACUAUCCUACGAGCGCCUUCUAUGACUAAUCGUGAACCUGAUUACCUAACCUCUCGAACUCUUUUUGGUAAUCGCGAAGGGAUCCAACUUGUCAAACUUUGGAUAGGGCUUCAUCAAAAUCUUCACUCUUUGUGGGAUCAAAACGAGCCCAUAGUUCCUCCUCAAAUGAUUCCCAUGUAACCAAGCGACUUUCCUCCCGGUAAGCUCGACGCAACCAUUGCCACCAUUGGUUGGCUUCUCCUUCAAGGUGGAAUGAUGUUAGAGAUACCUUUUAGUUGUUUGUCGUGCCUUGAAAUGCAAAGAAUUGAGCUACUCGAUUGAACCAUUCAGUUGGAUCAUCUCCGAAGUAUCUCUAAAAUUCUAACUUUGCCAUUUUGGAAGAGAAAACCUGUUUGCCGUCAUCAUUCUUCUCAUGGUACGAACAGGAGGAUUCUUCUCGCCAAUUGUUGUUGUUGUUUCUAGAGGGUUCUUUAGUUGAAAGCAAAGCCCUGGACAACUUGUUGAUGGUUUCCUCCAAAUGGUGUAGCUUAUCAGUUACGCCUAGCUCCAGUCGUUGCAUUCCAUCUUGAACUCCACCGAGUCCAACCUCCAAAGCCUCAAUCCUCUCUUUGUUAUACGCCAUUGUAACAAAGCUCUGAUACCACUGAUAGGUCCCAGUCAAAGAUUCGUAUGCUACAACAAUUGAUUACAAGUAUUCUCAUCAGGUGAGAACAAACCACACAAGGAAAUUGGGUUAAAAAAUGUCAUAUCCUUUAUUGAUGUCCAUGAGCAAUAAAUACAAAUCAAUCUAACAAACUUUCCGCAUGUCGCCGAAACUAAAAGUCCUUCACACCAUAAUGAAAUAAAUUCAAAUAAUAAAAAAUAACAAUAGCGAAAGCGAAAGCGAAAAUCAAUGCAAUAACUUUUAUUCUUCUACCACUACUUAUGACUCGUUCCAGCACGUGGUUGUUAAUCCUUCCUAAUUCCUUGGCCAUAAGAGAAUAACAACUUGACUAUGAAAUGAUCCCACAACCACUUGAAUGCGUACAUGUCUUCAUGCAUGAUAUUUUGGAUUUCUUUUGAUGGCACAUUGCAAACGUCGUGGCCCAUUCAGAGUCUUAUCAUUAGCUUUCAAUUAGCUAUACUUCUGUCUAUUUGUUAAACGGGUAAGAAGAAUAUUAAGCUGAUGGUUUUUUUUUCCUUACCUUUAUGGUUGAAUAUGUUAAGCGAUAACCAUUGUUGGUAUACUUCCUUGUGUACCUGCAAUUAUUUUGAAAGUUCAAUUAGUAAGAACAGAAAAUAAAUUGAACAAAGUAUAGACCCUCAAUUUUGUCCCUUUAGUACAUGUUUUUAAGUUCACUUCCAAUGCUCCAUAAUAGUUUCUUGGUGGCCUAUUGCUACUCAUACUACUUACCUUUUUUUUUAACCACCUUGGAGACUCUGAUUGAGAGAUUCAUCUAACCCCAUUGUGACCCUUGGCAACCCUGAUCUAGACUUAGACACUGUCCUAAACAUCCUAUGCACCUUCUAGCCUACACACACUCACUUUAGGUCGCUAAGGCACAUUACACUUCACCUAGAUUCGCUUAGAUACCUUUUUUAUUACCCUAGGCCCUUUUAAGAUCACCGUAGGUCACUUGUGCACUUUUUAGGCUCAUCUAGGUUCACCCAGGCCUACUUAGAUUCACCUAGACACCUUCCAACUUGCACACAUUCACCUUAGGUCACUCAAGCACUUUUUUAGAAUAAGUCACUUGGACGCUUCUUUUGGCAUAGUUCACUUGGGCACGUUCUUGAUUUUAGUUUUUCGAGAUCAGAUGAGUAUUGGCUUGACUAUAUAUUGCAUGAAACGAAUUUUAUUUAUUUAUUUAUUUAUUUUAUUAUUAUUAUUAUUAUUAUUAUUAUUAUUAUUUUAUAUAUUUUUGAGGGUUUGAGUUUGAUAUUUAAAUUAUUAUAAUCCGUUGCAUUAAUUUAAUUUCUUGAUUUUUUUUCUUCUAAUUGCAUACGUCUAAUAUUUAUUUUUAUACCCUUAUCAAUUUAUUUGUUUAUUUACUUGCUUAUUUAUUCAUUCUUUAAUUCCAUGAGUUGACAUCUCGGAUUUUUGUGGUUAUGUGAUUUGAUUUUCUAUUUUAUUUUAUUCUAUUUCCAAUUACAUGAUUUCUUAUUUCAACUUUAUUUUUAAUUUUGUAUGAGACUUGGAGCCAUCAAGGAGAGGAGAUCACGGCCAAAUAGGAAAACUUGGAUGGAAUCCGGGCUGCAUAUAGAAAGUGAGUAGAUCAAGGCUUUAAGAAGGAAUCCGGGCUGCAUAGAGAAAGUGGGCAGAUCAUGGCUUUGAGAAGGAAUCCGGGCUGCCACUUGGAGGAUACACAACACGCACUCCAUAUGAAGGGGCAAGAUAUGGCAGCCGCAUGAUGAAUUAGUGGAAGGAUAACCCAUGCAAGAAUUUUCAUUCAUAAAUAGGAGAACACCACGUACCCACAUGGAAAGAUAAUGCUGCCAGUCUACAAUCUCCAUGGGCUGCAACUUGAUUCUCCAAACACAGCAGCCACACAUUCUAAAAGCAAUAAGCACCAUUUAAUCUCCACCACCCAUAUUCAAGAAUGAUAGGCACCAUGGGAUUUCUUUUUCUCCAUCACAUAUGGAGUGGCUGGUGACUUGGAAAGCAUAAUAGGCACGCACAACCUGCUUGUAGGGGACACACAUCAGAUGCAUUUUAAAAAACCAUGGCUGCCACUUUCUGAAAAUAAUCACCAUGCAGCCGCACGAUUUUAAGGAUUUUUUUUCGAGAUGACACAUUCAAAUUUUGGAGAGUUGUAGAAGACUUCAGACGAGGAUUGGGCUGCCACUUGGACGCAUCAAGAGAGGAUUUUUUUCUUUUACUUCACAGGUUAGUUUUCAAUAUAGCAUUUUUAUUUAGCCUAGAUUUUUAAAAAUUUUAAUUCAAUAGUUUGAUUAAUUCUUUGUGAUAAAGUUUAUAUUAUUUUCUUCUUAAAUCCCAAAUUAGUUUAAUUUUAAUUUAUUUUUUAUUUAAGUGUGUUAGUGAUUUUAAUUCAUUAGUUUAAAUAAUCAUGUCAAAUAAAGUUUGUGUUUUUAAUUCCAAUUAAUUUGAUUUUAAUUUGUUUUUUAGUUUAAGUACAUUUGUUGAUCUUAAUUCAUUAGUUUAAAUAAUCAUGUCAAAUAAAGUUUGUGUUUUUAAUUCCAAUUAGUUUGAUUUUAAUUUGUUUUUAGUUUAAGUGCAUUUGUUGAUCUUAAUUCUUUAGUUUAAAUAAUCAUGUCAAAUAAAGUUUGUGUUUUAAAUUCCAAUUAGUUUGACUUUAAUUUGUUUUUCGUUUAAGUGCCUCUGUUGAUCUUGAUUCUUUAGUUCAAAUAAUCAUAUCAAAUAAGGUUUGUGUUUUUUUUAUUCUUGUUAGUUUAGUCUUAAUUUGUUUUUAGUUUAAACACAUUUAUUGAUCUUAAUUCAUUAGUUUAAAUAAUCAUGUCAAAUAAAGUUUGUGUUUUUAAUCCUAGUUAGCUUGGUUUUAAUAUGUUUUUAGCUUAAAUGUAUUUGUUGAUUUUAAUUCAUCAGUUUAAAUAAUCUUAUUAGAUAGAGCUUAAUUUCAAUUUAGUUUAAUUUUAAUUUAUUCUAUAAUUUGAAUGCGUUUAUAAUUUUAAUUCAAUUAUUUUAUUAAUCCUCUCAGAUGAAUUCCAUAUUUCUAAUUCCAAUUUUAGUUUAGUUUUAAUUUGCUGAUUUAUUUAUUUGUUUUAGUUUAAAUAUAUUUGCAAUUCCAAUUGGAUAGUUUAACCAAUCUUAUUAGAUAAUGUUGAUGUUUUUAAUUCUAAUUUAAUCUAGUAUUAAUUAUUCUUUUAGUUCGAAUGUGUUUAUGCGAUUUUGAUUUCGUUAAUUUUGAUUUUAAUCCAUUUAUAUCCAAUUUUGUAGUUGAUUACAAUUUUAGUUAAUUAAUUUAGUUAAUCAUGUAUUAUUAUUUUCAUCUUCUAAGUAUGGUAAUUUUAAUUUUGAUCCAUCAAUAUUCAGUUUUUAGUGUUUUUAGAGUUUUGGUCAAUUAAUUUAGUUAAUCACAUGUUAUUAUUUUCAUAUUUUGAGUAUGACAUAUUUUGGUUUUGAUCUAUUAAUAUUUAGUUCGAGUUUUUAGGAAUUUUGGAUAGUCAAUCUAGUUAAUUGCAUGUUAUUGUUUUCACAUUUUCAAGAUUGCUAAACUUUGGCUUUUGAUUUAUCAUAUUUUGUCAGAGUGUUAAUUUAUUUUAAUCAAUCCCAUGCUAUUAUCUCUAUAUGUUAAGUUUGUUGGCUUUAAUCCUUGAUUGGUUUUUAUCCUAAUUUAUGUGUUUCAUGAAAUUGUUAGUCUUGGACAAUAUUUUUGUUAGUUUGUUUGAUUAGGAAGUCAUUAGUUUGUUGCCUUAGUGAUUGUUGGCCAAAUCUUUUUUUUUUUUUAAAGGCCAUUGGAAACCCAUGAAGGUUAGCCCUACUCUCAUCAGUUUAAUUGACAUGAUUUUCAAAAUCUUUAUUUUGUGAUCUUUGUUUCCUUUCGUUUUGAUUGGUAUUUUGUUUUCUAUGUUUUGUUAUUUUAAAAAUUAAUUUCUUUUAUAUUAAAACAAAAUAUUUUUAUCAAAAGAUCCCUUUAAAAUCUAUUUCAAAAACUCAUUUAGAGUCCUCAAGAUCAAAAUCUCUUUUUUAAAAUAAUAUGCAACCAUAUCUUGACCGGUUUGCAUCUUUCUUGGUUUUUAAUGAAAAUUUUGGUUUCGAACAAAACACAAAUCAAAGUUUGUGGUCCCAAAUAAAUGGGAUAAUUCUAGGUUAAAUUCGUGUAUAUCAAUUAGGGAUUUGGUGAAACCCCUACAUAAGAAAAUCUUUUCAAAACUUAUUUUUGCUACCAUCCUUGCUAUUUGUUAUAAUUAUAUCUAUCUAUUUUUUUAGGAAUUGUAUACAAGAUGUGUGUGAUACUUGAUUAUUUCGUAUAUUCUGAAUCAUUUUUGCUAUGCUAAUUAGACAUGCAUGCUAGGAUUUCUUAUUUUAUUAUUUAUUAUCUAACCCUCCAUGUCUCGAGGAAGCGUAUUAUGAAUUAUCUAUGCUAUCCAGGUACAUCCCCUAACACCCACUUUCUGAAUUCUGUAAAUAUGAUUGUCAUUAUGAGCUAUGUCUAUGUUUGAUAGUGCUUAGGUGUCAUGAUAUUUAUUAUAUUGUUUGAUCAUUUAUGAUAAAGUGCAUACUGGGUGAUAUACUAUUUAAACUAACCUUUGAUGUUUUAUGAUAGCGCUUGAGAAGCGGUCCAGGUACGCAUCCUAACUCUCCUUUAUUGUGAUUUGAUCUUGUUUGGCAUGCUAUGUUUUUGGAAUCAUCUUAGUCAACCAAGGUAUCCUUAAUUAAUCAAUUGAUUGCCAUAUUUCCCUCAAUUUAGUCAGUAGAGACCUUUAUAGGGCUUAGAGGGGUGCUACUUCCUAAAAGUACUUUCCCAAUAAAUAACCUAGUCCCCGGAUCCAGACUUGGGUUUUUCAAGGACACGCUUUUUCCAAAAAUUAUGGAGUCACUUUUUUUAGGGUUUUAUUUCUUAUUUUAUUUUCCCUUUAAAAUAAAAUAAAAUAAGUUACAACUCCAACUUUUCCAAAAAUUAAUUUUUCACGAAUAAAAGCGAGUCUCGCUGAUUGAGUGGAGACGCACGUGAAAAUUGCGGGUCCACACAAAGAUUUGGAAAUUUGAGAUCCAAUAUUUGUUGUAGUUACUUCGUCUUUCAAACUAACUUGGUUUUCUUCUUGUUUAUCUUAUUAUACUUUUUCUUGUUUUCUUGCUUCUUAUUCCUUAUGAUACAUGGCAACCCUCAAGAAUCAAAAGAAUGUAUUCUAGAGAUUUUUCUUCCCUUUUUCUCAUAGAAAUGUUUAGAGGACAAUAUGAAGUAGACAAUAGGAUUGGUCUUCAUUUAGUGCCAUUUGACGAAAUCCCUAAUUUUGUAAUUAAUAGCUUCCACAAAAUCACACUGCAUUAUUUUUCCUUCCAAUCUGUUUGAGGCUGCCACUCAACCCUCUAUUCCAUUGCUUCUUUUCGUUUUUUACAUUUUUUAAACUUCAUAUGAGUCAAACAUAUUGAGAUACCCCUGGAUCAUAAGUGCAUGCUUCUACCAUGUAAGGACAUUAGAUCUAAUGGUAGCUAAAGACAAAAGAGAGAAAAAAAAAUGCAAAAACUUUAGACCUUAUGUCUCAUAAUCUUUUCAUCUAGAUGUUUCUAGAUCAAGUUCUACUAAUAGAAGAGUCUCAAUCACUUGACAAUCUUCUACAUGAUUACUCCUUUCAUUGUUGACAUUUGUGUAGAGUGGUUACAUAACCUUCUUGAGAGAAAGAAAGAUAAAGAGAGAGAGAGAGAGAGAGAGAGAGAGAUGGAGGCUCUCUAGAAGAUAAUAGUUUGGAAUCUCUAACCCUAGACCCUUAAGGGGGUUUAUAUAGAUUUCUUUGUGGACUUAAGUGACUUGAGUCAAUCUUGGACUUGAGUCACUUAAUCUAAUCCAAUAGGUCCUAAUUACUUAAUUAAUGGUAUUAGACUCUAAUUAAUUAAUUAGCUCAAUCCAAAAUCAAAAUUAAUUAACCAAAAAAUCUUAUGCCACCUUGCACUUUUACCCAAACACCCUUAUGUAUAAUUGACUAAUUCUCUACAAAACCUUUAGACUUUAUGCCAACAAAGAAUAUGAGUUCAAGUAAGGACUAUUAGGACCCAAAGUAAAAUACUGACUCUCUCAUAAUCUAAUUAAUUCUGAAGUUGACUUAAUAAAUUCACUAAAGAGAGUUAACUAUACUUCAGUAUCCUAUGAAAUUAAAUUAAAAAAAAUGGUUAAAUAUAAUUUAAUCCAUUUCUUGAUUUGUGACCUACCAUCCACUACAUAUGGAUUCCUCAUGAACUAGUGUAUAUGAUCUAAUGAUCUAGAUGUUAUCAACCUCUUAAGAUUACUUCUACAAUAUUUGAGUCUUAAAUCCUCUUAUUUUAUUAACUAAUAUAUCAUAAUCUAAAAAUAUAUAUAUGUUAAAUUCCACUUAAGGAAUUACUAUGACUAUAAAUUGCAUAAUCACAAGUCCUUAGGAUUAUCUAAGAUGACACACUAUCCGAAUCCUAAGAGAUACCAUUGUGCCUAUCUUGAGAACACCUACUAUCACUUGCAUUAAUCAAUAGUGACUCAAUCCAUAGGGAAUAUUAAGAUUUUACCCAAAGGUCAAAGUCAUUGGAGACUUUAGAACUAGUCAAUAUUCUAUCAAAGUUGAAAGCUCAUACAACAUGGUAGCUUAGUGAAUUGUGACUAUCCAAUAGCUAAUAUCAUGAGUUACUAUAGGUCUUAUUUAGUGCGUAGCUAUUCACACUAGUGCACUCAGCAUAGGAAACUUAUCCUAGUGACUAAGACAAGUUAUCCUUACAAUUCAGAUGUAGUGCACUAUAGUCUUAGAUGGAUUGUCUAAUUGUAUGAACCUAUUGUGAACAACUUAUCAUCUUAUAAGAGACCCAUGACUUAGAUCUUUUAUGUAACUCUUAAUACACCCAAUUCAUAUAAAAUGCAAGUGAUACAGGUGUGAAUGGUCAAAUAAUAAAUAAUGCAAUCAAGGAUAAAAAGAAACAUUAGAAAUCAUAACAUAUAAAUAUAUUUAUGAAAUCAUGUUAUGUUACACCAUAUGGUGCUUUCAAAGGCUUUAUCCUAACAAACCCCCACUAGCUAUCAAAGCAUGUUGGAUAUACACCUAACAUUUAUGUUAUCCCUAUGACAAUCAAAGACUCUACUAGGUAAAGUCUUGAUGAAGGGAUUUGAUAGGUUCUCCGUAGCAAGUAUUUUCUCCACAACAACAUCACCUCCCUAAAAUAUCUCACGUAUAAAGUGAUACUUCUUUUACUUUUCUUAUGGUUCCUUAGUUUUUUAUACCAUGUCAUUGCUCCCCAUUAUUAAAAAUAAAAAGAUCAUGGGUGGUACAAUCAUGAGAACUACCUUAACUCCCAUAAGGAACUUCCUGAGCCAAAUGAAUUACUUUGUUGCUUUAGAAGCAACAACAUAUUUGACUUCCAUUAUGGAGUUAGUAGUUCAAGAUUGCUUCACACUUCUCCAACUAAUAGCCCCACCACCUUGAGUGAACACAAACCUAGAAGUUGACUUAUAAGAGUCCUUAUUAGACUAAAAUUCUAAAUCUACUAUACCCUAAGGGUAUUCAUCACAAUGAUAUAAAAAGAUAUCAUCUCUUAUUUUCCUUAGAUUCUUGAAUAUAUACUAGACUAUCAUCUAAUGCUCUAGUCUUCAAUUAGAUUGAUAUCUACUCACUAUUCCUAUAACAAAGUAAAUAUCCAAUCUAGUACAUAACAUCACAUACAUAAGACUACCCAUCGUUGAGGCUUAGGGUAUCACCUUCAUGCGAUCUUUCUCCUUAGGACAUUGAUCCUAAGAAAGAGUAACUCCAUGCUUGAAGGGUUGUAGAGCAUAUGUACUUGACUAAAAACUUAUCAAUGUAUGUGACUUGAGAUAUUACAAUCUUCUUAUUCUUACGGUUCCUAAGGACCUUAACCAAGAAUAUAUUAUGUCUCUCUCAGAUCUUUCAUUUAGAAAUGAGUUGCUAACUGAAUCUUGACUAAUGACAAUAACCCUACAUCAAUUCUAAUAAGUAGAGUGUUAUCAAUAAACAAGAUAAAAAAAAAACACCAUAAUGCUUCCCUACAUCUUAUAUGCACAAGGUUCAUCUUUGUUUUGAAAAAAAAUUAAAAGUCUUGAUUUUGUUAUCAAAAUACUUGUUUCAUCACUGAAAUGCUUGCUUUGAUCCAUAAAUGGAUUUUUGCAACUUGCAUACUAGAUGCUCUUAGCCCUUCACUACAAAACUGUUUGGUUGCACCAUAUAGACAUUUUCAUCAAGAUAACCAUUCAAGAUCAUUGUCUUAACAUCCAUUUGUUAUAUUAUAAUCGAGAUGUGUCACAAUAGGUAGGAUUACUUUAAUGGAUUUGAGCAUGGCUACUAGCAAAAUGGUUGAAACUAGGUUUUUAACUACAACAUUUAGCUAUAAGUUAGCCUUAUAUGUCCCAACAUUUCUAUCUACUCCUCUCUUCCUCUUAUAGACCCACUUGUAGCCAAUGGGUUUGUCCUUUCAUAUGUUCUACAAGAUCUCAAACUUUGUUAGGAUGCAUAGAUUCUAACUUUGUCUCCAUAGCUCCUCGCAAUAAAUAAGAAUCAAUAUCGCUCAUAGAUUCAUCUAAUUUGUGGAAUUGACUUCAUCUUCCUCUAAGAUUGUCUUGAAAGACUCUUCUAAAGACAUGAAUCUAUCUUGUUGUAUGAUAAACAUCCUACUAUGAAGAGGCUCUCAUGUAUUAGAAGUGUUGGGAAUGGCUCGUACUUAAACUUUUGGAUCCCUAGUAUUCUAUGUUGUUAUAAGAAUAUCUUCUAGUGUUCUACAAUCUAUAUCAUAUUUUGCCUUACUACUUAUCAUAUAGUAUUCUUCCAAAAUCUAACAUUUGUGCUAACAAAUACUUUGUGGCCAACCUGACUAUAAAAGUAAGAACCCCCAAUUUUUUUAGGAUAUACUAAAAGUUGAAAAACCUUUGAACUUGCUUCUAACUUUUCUAUCUUUGAUUUCAACACAUGUGUUGGACAACGCCAUAUGUGAAUAUAUCACAAACUGGGUUUAUGGCUUGUCCAUAUCUGCGUGGGAGUUAAAGAUCCCAACUUAAGAGGCACUAGGUUAAGGAAGUAAGCUGCAAUCUCCAAUGCAUAUCAGUAAAAGGAUGCAGAAAGUGAUGAGAAACUCAUCAUAGAUCACACCAUGUCCAUCAAAGUUUGAUUCUUCUUUCUACUACUUUAUUUUGCUAUGGAGCUCCUUGUGUACUCAAUUGAGAUAUAAUCUCAUACUCCUUAAGGAAAGAAUUGAAUUGACUAGACAUAUACUCAUUAUUUCAAUUAAAUUGAAGUGCCUUUAUAUAUUUACCUAAUUGGUUUUUCUAUUUUACCUUAAAUUUACUGAAUUUAUCUAAGGCAUAAAUUUUCCUAUGCAUGAGGUACAUAUAUCCAAACCUAGAGUAAUCAUUAGUAAAGGUGAUGAAGUAUUCGUAUCCUCCUCGUGCAUGAACAUUAAAAGGUCCACAUAUGUUAGUACGGACUAGCUCCAAACACUCUUUGGCUCUAUAUCCUUUGGUAGUAAAUUAAGGAUCUCUUAGUUAUUUUACUUUCUAUAUAAAAUUCGUAGACUUGAAGAUCCUUUAGAAUCAAGUGUCUAUUGAUUCAAACUAAUCUUUGGAUCCUAUUUAGAUUAAUAUGACCUAAGUGUAGAUGCCAAAGACAUGUUUGAUUAGUGUUAAGUUCUUUUUUUUUUAGUAAGAUAUGAUUACUCUCAUUACUUGACAAAAGUGAUAAUAAAGUAAUAUGAUAUAGAUUUUCAACCAAUGAUCCUGAACAUGUAAAUAAAUAAUCCCUUUUAAUAGUAACUUGCUUAUUUAAAACACUAAAUAAUUUGAUUUACAUAGACUAAAAAUCAAAAUAAAAUUCUUUCUAGACUUAAAAACAUAAAGACAAUUUUUGAGUUGUAGAAGACAUUUAUUCUCUAAGAUAAGGGUAAUGCCUUCUAUUCUCUACACAACUAUCCUCACAUUAGAUGUUAGAGUAAGGUACAUAUCCCCAUCAUCCAACCUUCUCCUUAGUUGAAAACCUAGUAAUUAAAGAAUUACAUAUAUCAUUAGUGGCCUCAAAAUAUAUCCAUCAUGAAUUGGUGGAAUCUGCCACUAAACAUGAUGCAACCAAAAGUGAAUGAUGUAUACCUUGUUUUUUCUUUAGGAAUUUAGGGAACUCAUUUUUCCAAUGGCCUUUUUUUUUCCACAAUGGAAACAUGUUUUCUUUCAUUUGCUCUUUUUGUCCUCACCCUUGAACUUUCCUUUUUGUUUGGUGUUUCAUUCUUGUUCUUGUUUUUCUUAGAAAAAGAGCCUAAAGAACUCUUGACUAUCAUGUGAAUACGCUUUUCAUCUAUGAGAAUCUCUCAAUCAUAUAGGGUUCCCUCAUAAGCUUUAGUAAGUUCAUCAACAACUUAUUCAUAGAAUAGCUGAGCUUUAACUACCUAAAGGAAUCUGACAAGAUCUCAAGAUCAUAUCGACUUUGGUUGACCUAUCAAUCUCAACUCUAAGGAUCUCCAUCUCGUUAAAGACUUCAAUAUAAGUACCAUACGAUCUAUAAUAAGAGUUCCUUCUAUUAGCUUAGUUUUCAUGAUAAUCCUUACAAUAGCUUUUCUAACUGACUUGCCCUUGAUUAGAAAUGUAUUAACCAUUUUGAAGUAAACGAAUGUAAUGAGGAAGCAUAGCAUGUAGUGGAUAAAUUUGAAAUGAGCCAAUCACUUCAAAUUGGAGACUUUAAUUUUAAAUUCAACAUUUUGGAAUCUCAAGAGUCACUUAUGAAUUCAAAAUCCAUUUUGAAUUCACUCAAAAUUUCAAAUUCAAGGUUUGUUUUGUGCAAUCUAAACUUCAACCAUUUGGAAUUCAACCUCUUAAGCACCUAUUAAAUUCGAAAUUACUCCAAAUAAUUUAGAAGUUGUAAUUUCUUGAGUUUUUAGGACAUUCAUGAUGCAAUUUUGAUAAAAGUAGCCAAUUAAGUUAUGUCAUGUGUCAUGGUUAUGCAUUUACUAUAUAAACGUAUUUAGUUUUAAGGUUUGAGAGUUCCAAAUCUUGAAGUUUUGAGUUUGAAGAAGAAAACAAUAGGUUUGGUUAGUUCUCCUUUUAAAAAAAAUAUAUUAUAUUUGAUUUUACUUUAUUGAUUCAAUAUAUUGCUUAUCAUUUUCUUAUGAAUUUUGUACAUGAAAACCACACCCAUAAGAGGUUGAAGGCUUUCUUUUGGGUGUGAAAUAUGACAUUUUAGGUUUAGGACUAAUGAGGAAUAAUGAAUAAAUAAAAACUUGAAAAUGAAUCUAACCAAGGUUUGGGUAAAAGAAAUAAGAUGAAUAAGCUCUCUAAGCAAUUUGAAUUAGGUUAAUGCAUAAUGAAAGUUUAUAGAGGUACUAGUGAUUUUUGGUGUCUUUUGAUGACUAGUUAAUUCAAGUUAUUUUAUCAUUACCCUCCCUAAAGCUGAAUCUACAAAAAAAAGUAAGAUCUUACACAUUGUUAUUUAACCUUGAGUCAAGUCAUUUACUUGAUGGUAAUUAAGGAUCUUAAAUAAAUGAAAAAUUAGAUUUUAGAUGCAAUUUUGAGUUGUAGAACGCAAGUUGAUUGUAAAUGACCAUAGACCCUAAACACCUUAAGGUCACCCUUAAUUGAAAACUCUUACUUUCUGUAAGUCUCAAGAUGAAAAAGGAAUUAUGAAAAUCACUUGCUAAUAUUUUUAAUUAAUUUUUUUAGUUUAAUCCAUAUUCGAUAAUCAAUCUUUUCAUAAUUUUAGGCUAGAAUUGAAAUUAUGAAAUCACUUUAAGCUAGUAUUAACAGUAUUCAUAAGUCGAUCUCUAAGUAUGAUACUUGAAGGACUACAAAGCAAUCAUAACUUUAUCUCUUAUUUUCCUUUAAUAUAGUUUUCUAGUAUUAUGAGUUUAUUAUUUGAGUUUCAUAUUAUUUUUAAAAGUUACUAAACUUAUUAAUGAAUUUAACAUAUUAAAUCUUGUUUAAUUUGAAGUUUAUUUGUCUGGUGAAAAAAAUUAGAAAACAAUAAUUCUAUGUAGAAGAGAAACAAUAGAGUUAUUUUAUAUUAAUUUUUAUCCAUAAAUUUCUAGUAUUGAUUGGAUCAUUAUUUGAGUUUGAAGUUAUUUUUAAAAAUUACUAAACUCAUUUAUGAAUCCAACACAUUAAGUCUUGUUUAAUUUGGAGUUUAUUUGCCUAGUGAAAAGAAAAUUGAAAAAUAAUGAUUCUAUGUGAAAGAGAAACAAUAAAGUCGUUCUAAACCGGUUUUUCAUAAAUUUUUUGUAUUGAUUGAUUCACUAUUUGAGUUUUAAAUUAUUUUCAAAUAUUAUUAGUCUCAUUAAUGAACAACGCAUUAAGUUUUAUUUAAUUUGGAGUUCAUUUGCCUAGUGAAAAAAAUAAAAAAAAUAAUGAUUCUAUGUAGAAAGCAAACAAUUAUAAAGUUUUUUUGUUCAUAAAUUUCUGGUAUUAAUUGGUUCACUAUUUAAGUUUUAAGUCAUUACUAGACUUGUUAAUAAAUUCAACACAUUAUAAAUUCCACACACAUAAUAAAAAUAAAUUUAUAUAUAUUUGUGUGUAUGGAGGUAAAAUGUGUGUUAUUGAGUUUAAUGACUUUUUAGUGAGUUCUAUAUCUUUUUAGAAUUAAUUAAAUUGGUUUUUGAGUUUUCAAUUAUUUUAUAAAUUUUAUAAAUUUUAUGUAUCAAAUAUAGUUUGACUUGAAAUUUAUUUGCUUACAAAAAAAUUUUAGAGUUUAAAAAAAAUUAAAGAAAGCCUUUGAUAUUGGUAUUAGAUCAUGGAACUCAUGAAUUUUUAGUAUUAAUUAAAUUGGUUUUUGAGUUUCAAAUUAUUUUAUAAAUUUUAUAAAUUUUAUGUAUCAAAUAUAGUUUGACUUGAAAUUUAUUUGCUUACAAAAAAAUUUUAGAGUUUAAAAAAAAUUAAAGAAAGCCUUUGAUAUUGGUAUUAGAUCAUGGAACUCAUGAAUUUUUAGUAUUAAUUAAAUUGGUUUUUGAGUUUCAAAUUAUUUUAAAAAACUUAUAAAUUUUAUAUAUAAAGUAUAGUUUGAUUUGAAAUUUAGUUGUUUACUGAAAAUUUUUAGAGAAGUUAAAAGAAAUUAGAAAAAAAAAAAAAAAAGAAUGCCUUCAAUAUCGGUCUUAGAUCGUGGAAAGAGAAAGGACCAUGUUCAAUAAUUUUUUAUGGUCAUUUUUAAAAAUAAAAAAAAAAUAUAUGUUUUCCUUUUAAAUAAAUGGGUAAGAACAACUUCUAUUUGCUCUCUAAAAAUUAUUCUCUAUUUUACUUUGUUUUUAAAAACUAUUUCCGGAUAACAAUAGUCAAACAACAUUAGGAAUUUUUAAAAAUAGAAAACUAUUUUUAAAUCACACAACUAAAUAGACUCUAAAGUUUCUAAAAUUUUUUGCGUUACUUCCACAAAAUUUUCAUAUUUUGGAGUAUCGAUACGACAUUAUGACAAGAAUUUCGAGCAAAAUUUCAACAAUAUAUCAUGGUACUUAGAGUGAGGAAAGCUAAAUCUUUUGCCAUCUAGACUACUCAUCUUUAUUAUUUAUGCAUGAAAAUGCUAUAACACUUGAUAUAGCUAUGUACAAAAUUAAGUAUUAAAAUAAAUCUUUUGUAAAUAAAUUAAUGUUAGUUAUCUUAUUUUCAAAUUUGAUUUAACUAAUUCUUAUAAAAAAACCAUCAUGAUAAUUUUUUAAUAAGUUUUUUUUAUAUCUUUUAUUUAAUAAUAAAAUAUAUAAGAAAAAAUAAAGUUGUAAUAAAUUCUAAAUAUUUGCAAAUUAAAAAAAAAAAGUUAUACAUAUAUUAUUUUUUUUUUCAUAUCCUUGAUUACAUCCAAGUAAGAUCCAUCACCGAUCAUUUUAGUAUUAAAUAUGUUUUGAAGUUUUGUAAAUUAUCAUCGAAUAUUAUAACUAUUACCAAGCAUUUAUAACUUCAAUAUGUAUAUUAUUAUUUAUUUUAUCAUUUUUUAAGGUUUUUUCUAACAUCUCUAUAAAUUUAAACAAUUUUCAUUCAAUCUACAUAUUCUGUUUGAAUUUCUAUAUGAUAUAUAUAUUUCUAACAUUUUCAAAAAAUCGAAAUAUCGAUAUUUUUAUUAUUUACAGUAUUUUAAUCCUUGAUUAAAAGCAAUGAUUUUUUUUUCCCGAUCUCGCGUCCGAAAACAAAUAAUAGUAUCUUCUAGAGUUCAGAUUUGGGCAUAAAUUCGUUCUUCUAAAAUCUCGUAAGAGGUACUUGCCCCAUGAAUAAGCAGGUGGGAUUAUGAGCCUUUGUUGAUGCUUUGUCCUUUUCUUGACGGUUUCUAUUGGGUUUGUCAUGCUUUGGUGGCCUAAUCCAUAACUUCACCUACUAUGUGACAAUCACUUGAAAUUAAAUACUCACUUUGUGUCUUGUGACCUUGCCAUCAAAGGAAAAAAUCACAUUGUCCUUUUCUAAGAUAAGUCGACUCUCUUGGCAUAUAUAAGGGAUAACUUCACCGUAGAAGGAGCCCAAAUAGGAAAGCCACUAAUUUGGCAUAAGUCCCAUGAGGAGAUAGACUAUAUUUGGCAAAUCCGUGUUUAUAAAAAAAGACUCCUACUGAUUUCAUGAUUCCAACAAUCAUCCAUCUCUCCCUCGAUUCUAAGUCAAGUGUGAGUUCCAUUCCAUUCUAAGUCAAGUGUGAGCUACAUUCUAAUCCAAAUAUAACGCAUUUGGUUCAUUCUCAAGUGUGGUAUUUCAGUCCAAAUUGAAUUGUUUCAAAGUAUUUGAGAUUUUGUAAAAAGUAUAAAAUUUGUUUAAUUUAUCGUAUUUCCUAUUAUUUCAAGUAUUAUUAUCACAAGGAAAUGAUCAUUAUAGCAUGAGAGACAAUUUGUUACUAAGUCGUAAUCAUUUCAAUUAGACAAAUUUGUUUUAAGGACAAAAGAGUCAAAUUCUAGUCUUUAUCAACAUAUUGUUAUAAAAUUUUAUUUUAUUUUAUUUUAACUACUUUAUUAUAGAAAAAUAGAAGUCCAUUUACUUAUUAGUUUGCCGACAUCUUUUAUUUCUCUCAUCACUAGAAUAAGAUUUGUUGUUGUGUUCUAGAUCAAGGGUUUGUCGCUUUAGAAGUUUGUAGGGGCCAUGAAAAUCAAAUUUAGAUGUUAAAAACAUUAUAACUCUCUAAAGAAUUUGUCAUGUAAGAAGUUUGCUCAAUGGCAUCAAAGUCAAAUUUGGAUACCAAAAACAUUGUAUCACAUUUUACACACUUUUUUUUUGGGGGGGGGGGGGGGGGGGUACAAAAUGUGAUUUGUAGAAACACUCAUUUAAUCUAGAUUGUGACCCAAGAUUAAAGUCAAAUUUGGGUAAUUAAACAUUAUAGCUCUCUCAAAUAUAGUCUAUAAUCAUGUCAAAUAGAAGUCAUGAUGUGACAUAUGGUACGCUCUACUGUGGCCAAACUCGGUGUUUAUUAAAGUGUGAACAAGCAGCAUCAAUGUGAUGAGAUCAUGAAAUACCAGAGAUGAUAUUCUUUCUCGAGGGUCAAUAAAACUAAUGUUAACAAGAAGCAUUUUUCUAGUAGGAGUGAUCAUUGUUUAAUUAACAAUCAGUGCUUUCUCCACCACUAUUGAUCAAUUAGAAUUGCAGAGAGAGGUUGCAGAUGCCAAAGAAACCUCCUUGGGUUGUGUUUCAUGAGGUAGGAUGGAGAAAUCACCGGUUAUAUUAUUCCAAAGAUGCUUCAACCAAACUGAGAAAAUUGUUCAAGCCACGGAAAGAAAGUUUUUUUGAAAAUAGCAGCAUUACAAAAAUAUAGAUGGAUACAUAAAGAUUGAUCAUUGCAAAACAUACAGCUCACUGCAAUUCCUUGGAAUUAAAAGAUAGUGUCCAGAUAAACUAACAUUGAUUCAGCGGAUUGAUCUCACUUUUUUGAACAUAAAAAAAAAAAAGAGAACUUGCUACACCAACCUCAUUCGAAGGCAGCAGAACAAGGGCUGGGGGGAUUUGUGAGAAAAAUAUGGAGGAGCUGAUCAAUGGUAUGAUAGUUAAUAUCAGGAUAUAGUUUUGAAACCUCGAUGUCAUCUUCCCCUAUUUCGAAAUUCAUUAGAACCCCUUUUACGAAUAUACUGUGAAGGAUGGCCACGGGUAUGUUUUGCGGAUUUGGCAGGGCUGAAAAAGUAACAAAGAAAGAAAAGCUUAAAGUUGGUUAUCAAAAUGUAAAUAGAUUCUGAAUUUCCAAAUUCAGUAAAGAACAAAUGAUGUAUUAAUUGAUUAAGAAUUUGCAUUUCUUACUCUCAGAUAGCUUCACAAGCUCUUCCUCUGAGACAUGAACUCUCUUGAAGCUUCUACCAGUCUUCUUCUCCCAAAGAGCGAUCAAUUCGAGCUGCGAAAUAAUGUUUUUGGGGGGUAGAAAAAUGACUAUCCGAUUGCAGGCUGUGGGAUCAUUUGCCACCUUGAUUGUAUAAAGAGCAAUGUCUUCUUCAUAAUUUAACACCGCUGUAAAUAACAUUAAAAAUUGUGUAUGUCAUGCAAAUACGAGUAUAUACAUGCUUUAUGCUUUAUUUAGAGAACUAGAGGUUUCCCUUAGGACAUACCCUGGGCUUCACCACUGCCAUAGACGGUAAUACUAUCGUUUGAAUAGUCAUGUGGAUGGAGCAAGUAAUUCACAAAGUAUGCACCAAAGCAGCUAGCAGACACAAAUGUGUAAGAAAUCCCAGCAGCUUCAAUGGCUCUUCUGAUAAUCCUCUUCUUAUCAAGGAAUUCUUGGAAUGGGGAAAGAACAGUCACCCUAUCCUCCUCAACUCCAAAAUCAGAUGGAAGAAACCUCUAAUGAAAAUAACCAAGUAUAAGAAUAGCUCAAAUUUUAAAUAAGCUAUCAAAUAAUGUGACAUCAGUAUAGACCUCAGUGUCAAUCUCAUCUGAUAUCAUUUUACACUCAUAAUUUUAGAUAAUAUCAAACUCCAAUUUGCAAGUUUUAACCUAUAUAAAAUGAUUAAAAUAUCGAUUUUGACAAAUAUAUCAGUAACUUCAUUUUACGGAUACAUUGAAAAAUGUUGAUGGAUAUUUUGACAUAAAAUAUUGAUUGAUUAAAAAUUGAUCAAAAUUUAUAAAAAUAUUUGAAAACUUUUUAAAAAUAAAAUAAGAAGUAAUAAUACAUAUAUUAUUUAUUAUAAUUGAUAUAUAAAGAAAUUCAUUUAUGAAUUAUAUAAUUUGUAACAUUUUAUAAUAAUAGUUAGUGGAAUUUUAAAAUUCAUUUAAGGAUGAGUUACAUAUUUGGCCUUAAAAAGAAUUAUUGUAAUGAAUAUCAUCAUAUAAUAUGAUUUAGAGACACGUAUAAAUUAAUAAUAUAAAUAUAUAAAGUACAAAGAAUGUCAUUAAAAAUUAUAAAAAAGACAUGAUAAAAUAUUAAUAAUAUCCUAUGGGACUAAAACUAAAAAUGACGUAACCAAUAUGUAGACCAUUAGUGACCUAUCUUCAAGUACAGAGAGAACUUUCAGCACAAAAAAAAUGGAAAGUUCUAUCUCUUCUUAACUUGUAACUUAUCAUUUGGCUCUCAUUACAUUACGGAAUCAUAACUAAAGUAAUACUUUGUUUCGUAAUUUAGUUUCAUUUUGUAUCCAAUUUAUGUCUCAUUAUUUUGUAUCUUUUUCACUUUUUUAUUUAUAUUUAAUCUUAUUUAUAUAUACCUUAAUCUUAUAUUAAUUUACAUCUUAUUAUAGACCUUCGCAAGAUAGAUAUAUGAAAAAAAAUCCCCUAUAAUUGUAGCACCCAUGUAAGGUACAUAAAUCUAUUCACCAACGACGAGACGAUGGGAGGUGAGUGGACAGCACUCAACCUUUAGGGAUGUGGGUCACAUAAUAAUAACAAGUGGACCCGAGAUACCAGACCAAUAAGGUAAGGCACAUGCAGUUGAAAUAAAAGAAUAUUGUUCAUGUCAAAAUAUUCAUUUAAAAAGAUAAUUUUAAUACAAAUUUAAAAAUAUUAUUCAUACUUAAGUACCAUUUUGGAAAGUCAUUUUUUUUUUCCUGAAAAUAUUUUUUUUAAUAUUUUUAUGAAAUAUUAUUCUUUAAAAAAGCCAUAUAUUUUAAAAUAAUGUUAUUUAAAUAAAAAUAAAUAAAUAAACCUCGUAACCCAAACAGUAAUUUCAUGAACAAAGUUAGGAGUUUGGAUUCAAAAUGCCCUUUGGAUAAAAAUGUACAUUUGGGCCUAGGAAGAAUAACUUAAUCAAAAUGACCCAUUUCUCUCACAUGCUUCAUCUUUCAUUUUUUUUUUAAAAAAAAUUAAAAAAAAUAAAUUUGAAAUCAUAUUUUGAACGUGCAAUUUCGAUUCAAAUUUAUAAAUCAUAUUUUAAAAUUGUGGGUUUUAAUUUCUAUAAAAGCUGCAUUUUCAAACCAACUAAAAUUGAGCAAUAAUUUCAAAACAUGCUAAAACCGAUAUUUUUCUUACGAGCCAGUUUGAAUCAAACUUCUAAAGUGAAGGGCUGGAUCGAUGAAUACUUUUGAUGUGCCUGCAACUUUGAUGGCAUCUAUAAUUUUGAGUUGGUCAAGAACUUGGGGAUAUGCAAGGGCCGAGAUGACCACAUCUACUUGUUGAAUCACCGACACAAGCUUCUCAUGCUCAUCCAGUUCUCCCUGUUGCAACAGCAUAUUGAUCACCGCAGGAAGUAAGCAAAGAUACCAAGACGAAAAAGAGGGAAAAAAAGGUAUUACUUGGACAAUGUUGACGCCCAUGGACUGGAACUCUUUGAGAAGUUCUAUCUUGGAGGGAUGUGUUUGUGGAGUCAUAGGCCUAGAAUAAACGUACGUUGGAUGACCCAUCUUAACGCUGGCCUUAACCAUAUAUCUACCAAUAUAACCUGUACCACCAAAUAUGAGAAUGAUACUUAACACACUCUCCAUUGCUUUCCCACUACUUUGUUGCUCUCCACCCCCUACCUCUCUAUUGCUGAUCUAUUUAUAGAAGAAAAAAUAAUCCCUUCUGGUUUUUAAGGCGAAGGAAAUGAACAAUACAUAAGGAAAAAAGAAAGGUUUUGACGAAAGAGCUUAUCUUUAGAUACUUGAAAAGAUUUUUGGACCCAUUCGUCACAUGGAGCCAAGAUGACUUUAAAUGAAGAGUUUCAUGCGUCACAACCAUGUUCGAUUUUGGGGUGCAAGGACACCAUGUGCUGCACAUGCACGUGGUCCAGAAUUGCUACGACCCAAUUCCCCGUAUCAUAUAGCCUAGCUUCUUCCAAAACUUCCUAACUUUAUGACCUAAGGCAUAUUAUCUUCACAAGUCAUAUUCAAUAUGCAACAUAUGCACGUACAAUAACACAUCCAACUUAGAUUUUUACUCUAACUAAGACAAGUUAUCCCAAUUAUUAGAGAGGUGAUGUAAUACAACCAGUACUAAGUAGCCCAAACUAAGAGUAUGAGCUUAUUCCCUCUCAGUUUGUUUCUUUGCAUCAUCAUGCCUUUGUACAUAUCCUUUUCCUUAUCGGUUGGUGUUCUAUGGCUCAUUCCAUGAACUGAAAAAUUAUCAGUUGGCGCACUUUGGCCACAUCCAUGAACUGAAAAAUUAUUUGAUAUGCAGUUUGGCAAAACCUCAAAAGCUAGUUGGGUUUUCUAAGAUGGAAGUGUAUUUUCUUGUGCUUGCAAACAAUUUUCGUGUUGCUCGAAGUGUAUUAGUGUUGUUUUGGCUCGAUUACGUGUUAUUAAUUCAGUUUCUACUUGAGUUUUGAAACUUGAAUGAUUUAAUGUGUCGGUUGUUGCUAAAAUCGUCUUGGGUUGUACUUCCUUUUCUUGGUCUUGGUUCUUGACUUGGUUUUUUUCAAUGCUUUAAAAUUGGUGGGAUUGCCUUGGAUUUGUUUUCAAUGAAUAGAUUAAUGGGUUGUGUAGUUCAGUGAUUAAUCCGUGUUAUCAUAGUGUCGUCUAGAAGUAGGUACUUGUCAUUUUCCAAUUGCCGUCUGACUUGUCUCUUAAACCAUAAAGAGAUUGAAUUUAACCGAUUGCUAGUAGUUCUAUUGUGAUGGGGGAUCUCCAUUUUCUAUUGAAAAAUAGUACUUUUUCCAAACAGUUCACAGUGCCCAUAUGGCCCAUGAGUCCUUGCUGAAUAUGAGCAAAAGGUAAAAUGUCCGUGAUGAUGCAAAAAAAUAAUAAUAUUUUUUUAAAAGUAAUUAAUUGAUCAUUUGAAAGAAGAGGUUCAACAUAAAAUAGUGAAUUCUGAAUGUGAAAAAAAUAAAAAUAAAAUGGUCAAGUGUAAGGAUCUCCUAAAAGCCCGCGGCCCGCAGCCCGCGGCCCGCAGCCCGGCGGGCUAAAGCCCGACCCAAACCCGGCCCGAGCCCAUUUCUGGAUGGGCCAGGCCAUGGGCCCCAAAUUAGGCCCACGGGGGCCCGGCGGGCCGGCCCGUAGGCCCACCACUUUAAAAAAUAUAUAUAUAAAAAAAAUUUAUUCAAGAAAUAGAAAAUGUUACAUUAAUAAAAAUAUUUAUUGUUAACUAUUUUAUUCAUUGAAUGUAUACAUUACAUUUGAAAAUGUGGGAAAAGUUUACAUUACUAAAAAAUAAAUACAUCCCAACUAGGUUGGUACCUACUUAUUUGUCAAUCAUUUGUACUUUUCAACCAUAAAAAUAAAAAUAAAAAUAUGACAUACAUUUAAUAAAAUAUUUUAAUUAUUAUCUCUUGGCGGUGAUGGCGAACUAGUGAAAUUGAAAUAUUGUUAUGCUCUUAUUAUAUAACCAAUCAUUUCUUCACGAUAAUAAGAUUCAUCAUAAGAAAAUGUUUUUAAAUUUCCACUUUCAUCUUUACCUAAUUACAUAUAAUUUCUAAUAUCUACAUUAUUUUUAGUUUUACAAUUUUCAUGAUGUCUUUUUAAAUGACUUGUACCUGCAUUUGAGCCACCACUAAGAAGUUUGUUACAAAUUUUACAUUUUACUUUUAUUUCUUUUUUAUUAUUUUCUAAAUUUAUUUCUAUUCUAUCAAAAAAAUUCCAUAUAUUUGAAGUAAAUUUUUUGCUAUCAUAUGCAUUAGAUGAAGAACAAGAACCACUUGUCAUAAUUAUAAUUAUUGAUAAAAUAUUAUGCUAAAAAUAAUAAAUGUAAAAUUAAAAUGUAACAAAUAAAUAAAAGAAAAUGUGAAGUAUGUUAUUAAAUUGGAGAACCGAAUCAGAAAUUCCUUCAAAUUUGAACUCUUUGAACCACUAAUACUUGUUUUUCACCAUCAAUAAUAUUGAAUAAUUUGAGACAAAAUGCAAUAAUCGGAAAUAUUGUGGAAUGAGAGAGAGCUUAAGAGUUGAGAGAAUAGAAAAAAAUUGAGGGUAUUUAAUAUUUAUAGGGAUUUAAAUAUUAUGAUUUAAUUUUUUUUUUUUUUUAAAUUUCAAGACCGUUCAACGGUCAUAUAUUUGCUAUUGAAUUAUGAGUGGCAUGUUCAACGGUCAUGUGACCGUUGAACAACCAACUCACUUUUAUUUUUUUUCAAAAAUCAUAUAACAUUUCUAAUAUAUAUAUAACUAAUGCAAAAUAGUUACACAAAAGAAGGUCAGCUCAGUUGAUGGCUAACUCUCUUAUGGUUUCAUAAGGGAAGGGGUUUUCCCUUCAAAAUUAAAAAUUAUUUUAAUUUUUACCCUGGCCCGCAAGCCCGCCAAGCCCGCCCAGCUUGAGGGCCCACGGGCCUUAAAUAUAUGAAGGGCCCGGCCCAUUGACCAGUCAACGGGCUCAGUGGCCCGCCCCAGGCCGGGCCAUGGGCCUUACUCCUCUGGGCCGGGUGGCCCGGCCCGGCCCAUUGGAGACCCUUGGUCAAGAGUACCAUAUUUUUAUAUUUAUUUUCCAAACAACCUUUUUUUAAUAAUAAUUUUAAAAAUAACAUUUAAAAUUUUUGUGAAAUAUAGGAAUUUAAUAACAAUUUCUUCUGUCCCAUUAUUAUAUGGUAUAACUUAUAUGAAUUUUUUUUUUUUAAAUAUUUUUAUUAAAAAUUAGAAAAAUCAAUAAUAAUGUACAAUGAAAAUUAUUUAAAAUUAAGAGCAACCAUGUGAAGCAUACCUUGGUCGCAUGAGCACGGUGGACCAAAAGAAAACACCAAAGCGAAAACACAACCAUGUGACUUGCCCUCUGUCCAAAGGCCCCCCUUCUUUUUCUUUUCUGUUUGAAUCCUGUUCUGGCCUAACUUCACUCAUUUUUUUACCUAUGCCAAAUGUUUUUUACCUAAACAAACAUGAUAUUAAUACUGUUUCCUCUUAAACAGAAUAAUCAGGCACUGCUGCUUGACCUAUGCUAGUGCAAGUUGAAGGUGGCUUCAUCAGUGGCCUAAUCUAACAAGUUUUUCAGGAAAGAAUUUUCCCAAUCUAAUGGGUUUUAGGAAAAAGUUCGAACAAAUCACACCCAUAAUGCUAUAUUUGCAUGGGUAGAGGAGCAUACAUAAAUGGAAUGGCGGAUGAGUUCGUUGUUUAAUCAAUUAAUUAUUAUACACAUGUCAGAAUUGCACCAUUUCUAAUACGGAAUAGCUGAUUAAUUAUAACACUCUCUCUCUCUCUCUUUAUAUAUAUAUAUAUAUACUAUUUAAUGUAUUUUAUUAAAAAUUAGAAAAAUCAAUAAUAAUAUACUAUAUAUGAAAAAAUUUAAGGAUAAUUUUUUGUGUUAGGUUUAGAAAAUUCCAAGUAACCAUUAGAAUAUGGUUCAUGUAAACAAAGGCGGACCCAAAAAAUCAUUGUAGACCCCCAUUUUGGGAGGUAAUUGCUGCAGCAAAUUUUUCCAGGUGGAGCAGCUUCAGGAGGCCACGUGUUGCCUCUUCAUUGGCUGUUGAAGAAUCAGAUAAUGGGUUCGGGAAGCCAAUGGGUGUGCGACAUGUGUCCAGAGAAUAUGAAAAAGGCUACAAACCGUUGAGGGGAGCAGAGGAGAGAGUGCUUUUGGCUGCCAGCUGCAUGGUAGUGGGGAAGGUACCUGGGGCUGCAGGUGGGUGCUGGAGGUGGAGUGCUUUUCAGAGGAUGCUUUUCCAUUAGAGAAGGGGCGGCAGAGAUCUUGACAGGGGGAGAGCUUUUGUUUGGUUUUUUUUGGAGAGGAGAACGAGAGAGCUGAAGGAAACAGAGGAGAUUUCUGGAGGGCUUCAGGGGGAUUUCUGAAGCUUGAGAGAAGAAGCAAGGAGGUCAUAGAGAGCAGGACGGGUAUUUUCAGGUAUGGCCAUUUAUGGUUUUUCCUGUAUAUUCUCUCAUCUUUCGUAUUUCUCCUGUUUAUUUUCUAUGAUUUCAUCUCUGCUAGUGGGGUUGUUGUGUUUUGAUGAUUACUAGUUUAACAUUUGGAGAGCUUGUUGUAUUUUAAAGUUUUACCCCAGCAAACAUCUUCCCUUUUAAACCCACUGAUUGUUGAACCUAUGGAUGAAAUGAUGAGAUGGGUUCAGCAUGAUAGUUAAAAGCCUCAUUUCUUCUUUUCUUUAUUCGGUUAUGGUUCUCUUGUUCCCUUUGCUUUCUUCCUGGUUAUGCACUCAAGGUUUUGGGAUUGGAAGAAGCUGGUUAUAGUUAGACCUGACAUUAUGGUGAGAUGGCUGAUGGGCCCUGUUUCCCACAUUGAUUCAUUCUGGAGAUUGACUCGACCACUUGUGAUUUUUGAGAUGCUGUGACGCCAAUGUGUUCUGAAAUGAAGCUGUGAAGGUAGCCAAUAUGGUGAGGAAUAGAUUAUGUUUUGGUGAUGAGAUUCAGUCAUGAAGUUCCGGAAAGACUCUGUUAGUUCAGAAACAUCAUUUGGAAUCUGUUGAUAAUCAAGUCGUAUGUAGAAGAGGGGUUCAGUGGAUCAUCUUCUUAAGUGAUUUCAUUACAGGGCAUUCUUUUGGUCAUCAGUUUGAAAGAUAGUGUUCAGGGAUUUAUUCUGAAUCUAAACACCAAGGAUAACUAAGGAGCACCUACAGCCAUGACAGAAAACGUAUUCGGAGCUUCCAAUGGCCUAUCUCCAGAAGCAUAAAGGGAACAAGGGAUCCCUUAGAGAUCUGACUUUUCUUCCCUGAAGAAUUCACAGCUGAAAGGCAUUACCCCUCUGUGAUCGGCAUGAGAUUCAAUAACCGUCCCACUCCAUAUGAUAUUUCAAAGCUCUGUUUCAUGCUCACUGUAUCAAAGCUGAAUUUUCACGAAUCUGGAUAUGUACAUGAAUAUGGAGAAGUUGUUAUCAUGAUAUUGAGGCAUAUAUGCAUGAUUUCUACCCAGGUGGGCACCGUCCUUCAUGUAUGCCAUCUUCAUUUCUAUCUGGCUCAAUGAAGCAGCCCCCAUGAGCGACAUAGUUGCUGGAAUCAAAAGGUGCACCGUUCAGCUUGAAUAUUUCAGAGGGGAACUCAGACGUUUAUCUUAUGGGGGUUUUAUGUCGACUAGUGCAAGCACAUCAACGUAGUAGCACACCACCUCGGCUGGGAUACUGAUGGGUAAUUGAUGGUAAUUGGUCCUUGCAAGAAACGACUUCUGCAUUAUGAAGUUAAGGCCAUCGAAUAUUGCAGUAGGAGUAUUGGGUCAUUGAACAUGGGCAGUGUCCAUGAACCUGCUGUGAAUGACUCAGGUUAAAGACGAGGUUAUGGAUAAAGUUGACUCGAAUCAGAGAACUGCUAGUUAUUCAAGACAGUGAAGGUUUCUGAGAUGAUUUUGGUAUAGAUGGAAUUGAUAAAUGCCUGGAGCAUAGGGUAUAUAGCCUCCAUGACCUUCCUACUCCUGUUCUUAAUGUCUUGCUAUCUUCUAAGAGACUUCCAAAUCUCCAACUUGGCUUCUUCUUUGGCUGGGGUCCGGGUUGAUCUGAGUAUCUUAAGCUGACAGUCUUUAAACCUCUCAAGAGUCCUAUUCUAUAUUGUCAUUGCAGCUAAGAUCUUAUCAUUGCGAAUGACAGGAAUCUUCUUCUGGGUGAUAUUGGAAUCAAUUGAGUCACCAUCUCUCUGAAUCUGGGGCAGGCUGAGAGCUUUGCUUUUGCUCUCAAGUUCCAUGUAAAUGAUGACACUAAUCUUCAAGCCUUCUUAGAAAGCGUUAACUGGCUUAUUCAAAGAAGAAAGUUUAUAAGGGAAUGCAAAGAAGUUGAUACCGGGCUGCUUUGUGAUUGAGCAUCUCCUUGACCAACCAUGCUAAAUGGAAAAUGAUCUGACUGAAGUUGACGUCACUUGUGACUUUCUAGAACUGGACACUCAUGCAGAAAGGUGUUGUCGGCAAGCUGGUUGCUGUUCCCAGACUGAGAUGGUUGCUUGUAAAAGAUCAAAGAGGAAGGAUUCAAAGCCUCUUCCACUGGUUGUUUUCCAAAAGAAUAAUAGGAAGACAGGAUCAAUUCUUAACCUCGUGCAGGGAGAAUAAUCUGAAAGUGAUUAUGAAAGGACCGGUUAAACCUCGCGUCAUCCAUGGACCUUGCCGUUAUGGGGUUUCUGAUGUUUAGCCUUGAUGUGGGCCCAAUAACAAGUCAAGUUGCAGGUUUCAUCAUCGUGCCAUCAGUCUUGAUUGCUGCAUUUCAGUUAUCAUUUGAGGACCAUUACAAGAUGAUACUGCAGCCAUGGUUCGUCAAUAUGACUGAAAUAUGAUCUCUUCAAUGUAUGAGUUCGCCAUGCCCUUGUAUCCACCGUCAAAUCCACCCUACCUUUCACCUUUCGCUCAUUCUAGCCUCCGUCCAACCUAUUGUUUCAUGCCCACUGCCCACCUCCUCACACCCAUUUCAUAAUUCCUAUCCUCAUGCCCAUUACCCUUCCAUACCCAUGCAUAUCACCAACUCCUACAUAUAUAUUGCCAUACCCCUCAUACCCGUUAUAUCCCUACAUUCUACCACUAUCCCACCUAUAACCUUUACCGCCCAUCAUUCAUCCCUUACCCUUUAAUUCCAUCUCCCACGUGCUUGGCGUUCACAGCGCUUGGCCACUUUGGCGUAUAUGUGGUUAGUUUUGACUGGUUCCCAGCCUGGGCACCCUCCAUACCUGGCAGUCUCCACUCAACUAGAAGAAAGUAUCUUAGUGAGGGCAGUAGAAUAAUCCCGGCGCUGAUAGAUGGCAGCGCGCUACUGGUUUCCAAAGAAGUGGUGUCAUCUUCAGGUGAUUCUGCAGGGUUAGAUUUAGUUUCCCCAUGUGCCGUGGCUGAUGUCAAGGAUUCAGUUUCAAAGAAUAUCUCUACUUCGGAAGAAUUUGAGAACAAACAAGUCUUUGAGAAUGUUACAGAGACAAAAGUUGCACCAUCGGAUGAUUUUACGUUUUUGGAUUGCUCCUAUACUUUUACAUGGUUGGAUUACUUUGAUCCAGGAGCAGUAUCAGAUAUUCACAACGUGGCUUCACAAAACAAAGAUGUUUCAGUUAUUCAAGAUUCAGGGAACCAGGAAUAUGUUCAGAAUGAUGUCUUAUUGCAAAAUGCCUCUGAAUUUAGUAGUCGGGUUUAUCCACACAAGGGAGAGCCAAAUCUAAAAAUAGAUUCUUGUUCUACUAAUUCAUAGGAAGAAGAACUCCCAGUGCAAAUCCAAAGUUCUGAAGUUUUGCUGCUUCCCUACAAGGAAAAAAACAUCGACUGCUGUAGAGAUCACAACAGGACAAGUUGGGUCUUCAGUAGUUUCAGGCUCCAAUGCAGAAUUAUUGGACUUUGAUAGCCGGUUCACAAGGCUCCUCAUUCAUAUGGCCACCUCAGGGUACCUCUGAUCAGUCCUCGCCCAUAAUCAGUUUCAGUAUACUCAUGAUCUUGCAAUAUUCAUCACUCUGGCUCCGUUGGGAUUUUAGAGAAGGCAUGCAACUGGUGUUCAAGGUGCACCAAGUUCAGAAUCCCACUUGUGCAUUGGACCUACAAGCACGACCCGUUUUGCAUGGCCACCUUUGGCAUGCAACCAAGGGCCACGUGUCAUCUUUCAUUUCCUCAUCUCUUUUUGAUUUUGAAAAAGAUUUUCCCAAACUUCAUUUUGUAAAUAAUUCCCUAAAUUCCGGUUUUUUUUUUUUAAAAUAACUUCAAGUCUCCAAAGCUUUCAUCUUUAGAGUUUUUAGGACUCACAAUCCCAUUUUCAAUAAAGUUUGGUUGUCGUUUUCUUUCCGACAAGCCACUUUUGAAUUUUCUUUGUUUUCAAAAUGUUUUAAAUAAGCUAGAAUCGGAUUCCGUAAUUCCUAGUGAUGGAAUUUAUGGAAUUAAUUCAUGCAAAAAUAAUCGGGCUUUGGUGGGGGCCCUACAUAUGUGAUUUCACGAUUGAUUUACUGAUUAGUUGAUUGGCUUUCCAGGCAUGAUUGAUUUGCUCUAUUCUUGAUAUGCGCUUAAUUACAUCUGUUUAUUGUUCACUAACCAUGUUUCAUGAUAGCGCAUUCGUGAUUGCUGCCCAGGUAUGCAUCUAUUCAUAUUUUGCUCAUUCUUUAUAUAUGCUUUGCCUCUCAUAUGUGCAUGGUUGAUUUGGGUAUUUACUGAUUUUCUCAUUGAUUGCCAUGUCAGCUUCAUUUUAGUAGUAGAGACCCGUCUUUAGGGACUUAGAGGGGUGCUACGGUCUUUACCGUACCUUCCCGAUAAGUAACCUGACCCCCGAACCCGAUCCGGUUUUUCACAGACCACCUUUUCCAAAAUAAGGAGUCACACUUAGGGUUUUUCUUUCUUAUUUUGUUUACCCUUUAAAAAUAAAACAAAAAUAAGUGGCGACUCCAAGUCAUUUUUCUUAAUCAAUAAAAAUCAAUUUUUCAAAAUAAAUAAAUAAUCGAGCUCGCCAUCGAGUGGGAAACGCAUUCGAGCCAGUCGAAAUGCGGGGUCCACAAUCAUCCAUCCAACAAAAUAGCCUCGUGAACGAUGAAAAUUAUUUCAAAUUAAAAGCAACCACGUGAAGCAUACCUUGUCGCAUCAACACGUACGAUGGACCAAAAAAAACAGCAAAGUGAAAGGACAACCAUGUGAAUUGUCCUUUCUUUGUCCAAAGCCCCCCUUCUUUUUCUUUGUCCAAACCCCCCACCCAACCCCCCUCCCCUCCCUCUUCUUCUUUGUUUUUUCUUCUGUACAAUCUGUGCGUGGGACGUGGAAGGUUUUGAUCCGAGGAAUAGCCUCUCAUCGUAUUGCAGCAGGUAUCCCCCGCCCCCUUCUUCUUCAUUACCCCCCUCCCCUCCCUCUUCUUUGUUUUUUCUUCUGUACAAUCUGUGCGUGGGACGUGGAAGGUUUUGAUCCGAGGAAUAGCCUUUCAUCGUAUUGCAGCAGGUAUCCCCCCUCCCCCCGCCCCCUUCUUCUUCAUUACCCCCCUCCCCUCCCUCUUCUUCUUUGUUUUUUCUUCUGUACAAUCUGUGCGUGGGACGUGGAAGGUUUUGAUCCGAGGAAUAGCCUCUCAUCAUAUUGCAGCAGGUAUCCCCCCUCCCCCCGCCCCCCGCCCUCCUUCUUCUUCAUUUUUUCUUUUGUACAAUUUGUAAAUCCAGAGUGGGACGUGGAAGGUUUUGAUCCUUUUGUUCCGUGAGGAAUAGCCUCUCAUCAUAUUGCAGCAGGUAUAUUGGGCAUAUUAGCAGGCCUAUUCCAUCUUAGUGUCCAUCCACCUCAAUGUCUAUACAAAGGAUUACGUAUGGGUUGAAACCGUCCUGUCCAGUAGUAUCACUGCUGUCUUUUGUGCAGCUUUUGUUGUUGCUGGAACUAUGUCCCCUUCUUUUUCUUUGCUUUUCCUUUCUAUGUCCAAACCCCUCCCCCCCCUUGCUUUUUCUUCUGUUUGAAUCCUGUUCUACCCUAGCUUCACACAUUUUUUUUACCUAUGCCAAAUAUUUUUUACCUAAACAAGUAUGAUAUUAUUACUGUUUCCUCUUAAAAUACCUCAGCAUAAUAACCAUCAGGCUCUGCUACAUUGUUAAUGUUGAUAGUCUGUAAGCGUGCGUCCUUCAACUUAUUCUGCUACUUGACCUAUGCUAGUGCAAGUUGAAAGUGACUUCUAUGGCUUAAAAUAAAUUGGAGAUCAAGCCUUAGCUUAUAACAGGCCCCCCUAAUCUAACAAAAUUUUCAAGCAAGAAUUUCCACAAUCUCAUGGGUUUUGGAAAAAGUUCGAACAAAGCAUAUCCUAUACAAAAUAUAAGAACUUUAUGACACUAACCUUAAAAAGAUAUAAAGUCUUUAAAAAAUUUGAGGUAUUAAUUUUUUAUUAUUAUUAUUAUUUCAAGUUAUAAAGUCUAAUGAGUAAUUCUUAAAAAUAAGAUGUAAGUUCAUAUAUAUUUUUUUUUCUAUAUUUUAUCCAGGAGCUACUAUUAUUUUCUAUUUUAACAAACUCAUGACUAGCUCUUCGAUUAGCAUGCACACAGAGUCACCAUAUGCCUGGUACUACAGAUGAAAAGGUAUGUCAACAAGUGGAGGUUUGCACAUCGCCCUUUAGCUCUUUGCAUGAUAAUUAAAUACUAAAGAUGAGAUACAAUGAGUUUAAAGCACUUAUGUAGCAUGCUUAGACCAUUGGAUUUUAUGCAUCACCUCAAAUGAGGUCCAUGACCAUAUUGAUGGGAAUUUAGGAUGGAGAGUCCCACAGUCCAUCUUAGUCUGUCUGUGUAAGCCAAAAUCCAAGAUCUCAAUAUGGUGCUUGAAUCAGCAAGCAUAUAUGGAACUUGAGUUAGCUAGACACUUGAGGCGGUUAGAUUGUGUUGAUAUACAUAUAUAUAUAGUGAUCAAGAUUGAUUGAAAGAUGACUCUGAAUUUUUAUUUAUUUAUUUAUUUUAUUUUAUUUUUUUGGAAGUCAUCAAAGAUGUUUGUUGAGAUAUGACUAGAUGAGUUUGGAACAUGCAGAGACAUUUUAAGGAUGCACUAUGCUGGUCUAUGUGAGAUUUAGUAUACCAUUCUAGCUGGGUUUUUUUAUCUAAGUGCUCAGUGGUUACAUGAUUCAUUAGUUGGUAAAAGUCAAGAUGACAAAAUGGAUUUAUAAUUGAGAGUUGCAUAUUUAUUGUUUUGUCUAUGAUGGGUGAGUGGGAGAUGAUAGAGUUUGUUAUAUAUCUAAAUUGUCCAAAAUGUUCAGACUCAUGAGAUGAGAGUCAUUUCGCCGCUUCUCUAUAACAAAUAUAGGUUAAGGUUCUAAGAUUGAUCUUCGAACCAACAUACCCUAUCCCUUCGAGCUUAUAAAUAUGGGGCUUGCAAAUCCAUAUGUUUUAUUAGAUAGGACUUUUAACUUGUAUACAAAUAGUGUUACCUCUAUAGCAUUCUCCACCAUGAUAUCCCAUUGGAACAUUGUGAGAGCAUCUCAAAGUUUUGAAUCAGGUAUGUUUGACUUAAAUAAUUAUUUGAUUGGUUUUUUUUUUUUUUUUUUGUUCUUAAUGUGUGAUAGUUGGAAAUGUACUUUAACCUUUUACACGUUUCUUGUAUUGUUAUUUAAGGUUUUUUAACUACAUACAACCAUACUAAAGCUAUAUCAUCAUUAACAGAAAAAAUAACAUGAAUCAAUCUCAAUUUGAAAAAAUAGAUUGAUUUUAAUCUCAAUAUAUAUCCCUUGAGCCAGAAAAAGUCAUGAGAUGGUUUGGACCACCACUAUGUUUUCCUUAUCUUGGGCGGUGCUAGGAUUUAAAGUUUGAAGAAGACACAUGCUUUAAAAAAGCAAAGCUGUUUAAGUGAACCCACAUCUCUUACCUUUAAUGAAUAUGCUUCCUACUAAAAUUGAAAAUAAUCCCAUAUGAAAUGAAAAUGGAAGGCAUGGGUAAAGAUAAAUUAAUUCACCUCUACCACUUUAGGAAAUAGAAACCAAAAUUCAACUGGGAUAAAUUAAUCCAUUUUUUUUUCUUAUUUACUACUAAUCUUAGACUUGAUUCAGGAUAAUUUUACACUUUCGGUUUUAGUUAUAAUCUCUAAUCUUGAUUCUAAAAUAUAAAUAAUUUUUUCUUUUAUUUUUUUAUUUUUUUAUGUUGAACUCUUUUUAAAUUUAAAAACUUUUUUAUUGAAAUCAUUUUGAUAACAAUAAAAGUUAUUGUGGGAAUAAAAAACUAACUAUUAAUCCUUAAAUUAUUAUUUAUAUAUAUUUUUUCAUUUAAUACCACACACACACACACACACACACACACACACACACACACACACACACACACACAUAUAUAUAUAUAUAUAUAUAUAUAUAU
rnacentral:lncRNA from 1 species